GUAUAGGAUUUAGGUUUAGGAUAUAGGAUUUGGGUUUAUGGUUUAUAGUUUAAGAUUUGGGUUUAGGGUAUAUGGUUUGGGUUUAUGACGUAGAGUUUGGGUUUAGGAUUUAGGAUUUAGGGUUUAGAGUUUGGGUUUAGUAUUUAUGGUUUAGAGUUUGGGUUUUGUUAGCGGCUUCUUUUUUUUUUCAAUUAUUUUUGAUUUUUUUUAAAAAAAUUAACAGUUUUGUUAAUAAUCUACCUGACACUUUCAUUGGUUAUAAGAAGUGCAUAAUUGGAUCCGUGAGAUGUUUGUGGAGGCAGAAGUUACUUGGACUUCAGGAUGCUCUAAUCAAGUAGCCAGACUAUCUUGUUUAAAUGAAUAAUGAUUCUUCGUUUGUAAUUUUUGUAUGGUCCAACAUUGUAUUGACACAAGUCACACAAUCCUCCACGAGAACCACCGGCUUUCUAGAAUCUAGAAAAAGAAAGAUGUUUAUAAAACAAGUACAAGAGGAGAUGUUUAAAAAGCAAGUAUAAGAUCUAGCUCCUUUGCUUAAAUGUUGAAUGCAUGAUAAUAUGACAUGCAAAUAUGCAAUAACAUGGUUUGAAGCCACCACAUCCUCCAUUUUUCUAAUAAUUGUGGAGACCUAAAAUAAGAGUUUUACAAUUUGGUUAAAAGUUUGUUUUUCUGUUUCUCCUUGAAACUCUCUCUUCCUUUGAUUUUCCAAACAAAAACUUUCGUUUCACAAUCAAAAUAGACACAAGUAAACACCUAAAAAGAAAAAACAACACUGACCACAACAAACAGAAAACAAAACUAAAGAAGAGAGAAAUCGACUAUCAAGAGAAUUUGAAUUCAAGGGAAACUUGCAAAUAAUUUUUAAAAAUUAUUUAUUCCCUCUUCAUCGAUGAAUUCUUGUGGGUUACGUUGUCUUUUUAUUCUUCUGUCGUUUCCAUAUCUCCUUCAAGCCGAUCUCUCAUCUGAUUACUACAGCAAAACAUGCCCUGAUUUCGACCAAACCCUCGUCCAAGUCGUCACCGACAAACAGAUCGCUGCUCCGACCACAGCCGCAGGAACACUCCGUCUCUUUUUCCAUGACUGCAUGGUCGACGGCUGCGACGCCUCCAUUCUCGUCGCUUCUACUUCCGGUAAAACCUCAGAACGCGACGCCGACAUCAACCAUUCCCUCCCCGGAGACGCAUUCGACCUAAUCACCCGAAUCAAAACUGCCCUCGAGCUAAAAUGCCCCAACAUCGUCUCAUGUUCCGACAUCCUCGUGGGAGCAACGCGUAGCCUCGUCAAAAUGGUCGGAGGUCCAAGAAUCAACGUCAAAUACGGUCGCAAAGACAGUCUCGACUCCGAUAUGAACCGCGUCGAAGGAAAGCUAGCUCGCCCCAACAUGACGAUGGACCACAUCAUCUCCAUCUUCGGAUCAGCUGGCUUGACCGUUCAAGAGAUGGUGGCGCUCGUCGGAUCGCACACGAUCGGUUUCUCUCACUGCAAAGAGUUCGCGAGCCGCAUCUUCAACAGCAACGUCGAGCACAGCGCUGACUUUUGCCCCGAAGGGAUGAACGCGAAAUACGCGGCGGAGCUGAGGAAGCUCUGCGCGAACUACACCAAGGACGCGGAGAUGUCUGCGUUUAAUGACGUUUUUACCCCUGGGAAGUUCGACAACAUGUAUUACAAGAACUUGCAGCACGGCUACGGGCUGCUCGAGUCGGACCAGGCGAUUGCGUUUGAUAACAGGACGCGUCCGUUUGUUGAUCUUUACGCGGCGAACGAAACGGCGUUCUUCGACGCGUUUGCGAAGGCCAUGGAGAAGUUUAGCGAGCAGAGGGUGAAGACGGAGUUAAAUGGAGACGUUCGAAGGCGGUGCGACCAGUACAAUGACUACAGGGGGUAAACUAUAAGAGUUACCUCUUUAAACGCAUGCACACGUUAAGAAAAACUGUCAUAUUAUAUUAGUAGUUACCACCACAAUGGUCAGUGAUUGUUGAGUUUGUUACAUUUAUUGGUUGAAACUUGUAUCAAUCACCAGUAUGGUGGACAAAUCUAUUUUUUUGAAACUUUUUCGUGUCGAUGAGUGUGUGUUUUCCUUUGUUGUUUUUUUGUAUGUUGAUUUAUCAAUUCUAAUUUUAUUUAAUGCAAAUUAAGAUAACAUAUGAAAUUCAUAUAAUGUUAUUAGCACAAACCAUUAACAUGGUCAAAUAAUAUAAUUGUCAAAAAUAAAGAGUUGAUUAAUACGAAUGAUAAGUUGGAGAAAAUAUCAAAUGAUUUACAGAUACAACAUGCCUAAGGUAAAGGGAGGAAAACAUAAAUGUAUUUUAAGAAAAGAAAGCAACGAUGAUAAAGAAAGGCUAACAAGGUUUUUUCUUGUCCAAUUUCAAAUGUAAUUUGUACCAUUUGCUUUUCUUCUUUAGUGUCUCAGACUUAUCAGAAGGACUUGGUUUCUUGUUCCUCUCUUUGCUGCUUUCUUCCUCUUCCUCCUCGUCCUCUUCUUCUUCCUGUUCAGUUGGUGCAGGCGCCUCAGCCGCUGCCUUUUUGAACGAGUUCCUUCUCAGCCUGUUCAGUCUGUUCUUGCUCGAGCUCCGCUUUAUCACUGGAGCCGUAGUGUAAGCCGAGUGAAUUUCAUUUCUCUGCUUCAGAAGCUCGUCGAUCUGUGAAAAGCACAUGAAAAAUCAAAUGUUUUACAAUUUGGUUUUGUUUACUCAAGUCAUGACAUAUGCUUUACAAAUGAAUAAAGACUAACCGAUUGCAUUUCCUGAGCGUAUCUACUGGUCAUAUCAGUGAAUUGCACAAGUACUUCUCUGUACUCUGUCUCAAACUUUGCAAGCUCUGCUCUUUUAGUGAGGAUCUGAGCUUCUACAGACCUAAGGUCUUCUUUUUCUUGAGUAAAAGAGGCAGCACAAAGAACUUGGAUUGUGUAGUUCACGCUUUUGAAAAAAUUAUCACCUGAUAAAAAGGAAAAAAAAAUGUCAUUGUUGACCACCUAGUUGGGAUUAAUCAAGUGCUCAAACAGAUAUGAGUUUAUAAUGAGAUUGCAAUCAUAGAAAACGGACCAUAGACAGCAAAGACAUGUGUUCCGGCCUUUAGCUCAGUAAGUUCACAUUGCUGAAAUCCAUCAAGCUUUUUAAAGAAGGCAGUUUCUGGAUCCUUUGCUUGAGCCACCUAAGCCCAAUUAAAAAUCAAGUCACGUAUUGAAAAAAGAAACUCAUAGUGGCAAAGUGAACCUACCGAAUUGUUGGUGUGAUCCAGCCGGUAGACAGGGAAACCGAGAAAGUACAUUCCAGCAGAUGUUAUCUUGCCAGUUCUUUUGCUGUCCUCCUAUACCAUGAGUGAUUCAGAUUAUAAGAAGAAGAAAAAUCUUCAAAGUUCAAAUUACUUAUUUUAUUACAAUGAAACAACGCAUUAGUUCCAUUGAUAUAUGAAAACGCACAAGUAGAAGAAAAAGUUUUCAAUUCAAUUAGUAAAAACAAUACCUGCAGGGCUAAGCUCAAUCCGCUAUUGGCUUCUUGAUCAAAGUAAAGUAACUGCACAAGCACAGGCACGCGUUAGUUGUCAAAUACUUUGGCAUUUCCAUAUCAGUUUAAGGGGAAAAGACUCUGGCGAGCAAACCUUGAAUUUGCUUUUGCUAGAUGAUUCUACUCUGCAGACCAGCCCAGAACACACUUCCUCUUCUGUUACUGUGACAGCAUAAAAGUGUGCACAUUGCUUUUCAACCUGUAAAAAAAACCAUAUCACAUAUGAGACCACUUAAAUGGAGAUACACAACCAAGUGAGAUAAUAGCCACUAGCUCACCUUUUUGGUCACAGCUUGUCCAAGUAAAAGAGGAUCAACUGAAACUCUGCCGUUAAGAGCCUCCUCCAAUAUAGUUGCAGAUACAGAUGUUUUAAUCGGCACACCAAGUUUGCUAUUUCGUUGGAAAUUUCACAACACAUUUCUCAGCUUGCAUUUAAAAAAGUCUAUGUCCAGCUACAUAAAAACGGCCACAGAGAAUGAAGCGAAGUCCAUACUAAAAAAAUAAAACCAACCUAAACAAAGCUGCAAAGACAGUAUUCACAGCUCCCAAACUUGAGAGAUCCAGCUCCAGCUCUUGGCCUUCGGCUUCAACUGCCUGUGAUUUGCAAUUAGCAAAGUUUGAAAUAUCAUGCUGGCAAAUCAUAAGCUGCUGGAAGUAAGCAUAUCAGACAUGAAGAACGCCCCCAGAGAACAAAAUCCUAUCGUAUCUUAAGCUAAUCUAAUAGUACUAGUACUUAUCAUAUCUAUGAUUACACUGAAGACAAGAAGCAAACCGCACCUCAAAACCAGCAGUAUCAUACUGACGGCGUUUCUCAGGGUCAGACAAGAUGUUGUAGGAAAAGGUGACCUCCUUAAACAUGUCGGCUGCAACCGGAUCAUUUGCAGUCUUAUCAGGAUGGUACCUGAAACAACCAAAGCAUUGAUUUUGACAGGGAUAUCAAGAAGAGAGAAUUAGCUAGCCUAAACCAGACCAUCUGUCUUCCCUAAUGAUAAAGGCUUAUAUGAGCAAAGCAAUUCACAGAUGAACAAGUAGCCAUUAAAUAGCUGCAAGACUUACGGAUAAAUUCAAUUAAAGACUCAUCCUUUAGACAAAAUAGAUUGAAUUCAAGGGUCUUCUUCUUUGUAGCCUAACCCUAAAUUUCAAAACUUCAAACCAAAGAGAGAGAGAGAGAGAAUCAAUAAAAGAGCAUACUUGAGAGCUAGUUUCCGAUAAGCGCUCUUAAUCUCCUGAUCCGUGGAGUUCUUCAAGACUCCUAGAACCUCGUAAGGGUCCCGCCUUAGCUGCUUCUCCGACUUGGAUCUAUUAGCUGCCAUCUUAAGAAUCCACACUUCAAAACGAAAGAAAGAAUCUCCCGAUGCUCAAAGGAGGAGGAGACAAUCAAAUCUUAUCCGAUUACUCUUCCUUCAUCUCUGCAACUCAAACUGGAACAAAGCAUAUCAAAUGAGAAACCGGAGGAGAGAGAGAGAGAAGUUAGUUUGGGGUUCGCAAAUAGAGAGAUGAAGAAUUUUUUUAAAAGAAAAAACUCUCUGGAAUUUCACUACACUGCGCUGUUUGGCGGCGCGUGUUAGCGAGCGUGUAACGCUGGAUGUUAGGGGCCGCAGGUUAUUUCUUGUUUUGGCAUCUUUUGGGAGGCGCGUUGCGGUCACGCGGAGCCAGACGGUAGGUUUAUUAUUAAAUUAAAUAAACUUGAUUACUUAACAAUUGAUUAUCCAACUCAUAUGAGUUAGACCCUUCUUUAUUUUAAAAAUCAUUUCCCUCAAAUGUUUGUUUCUGUUUUGUUUUGGUUUUGUUACAACUUAAAACUGCUAAGAGGUAUUUCACCCAUAAUUAACUCUCUAUACAUGUCUGAUUAUACACUCGGCAACAGGUAAGAUUUUUCUAAGAAAUGGAUGUGACAUAUGGAAAUAUUUUAUUUGUAAUUAUAUUUGUCUAAUCUUCUAUGGUUAAAUACUUAAAUAUAGUUGACAAUAAAAACAAUACUUAAAUAUAACAUAAAAAAGAUUUGCUAAUUAAUUAGCGGUUUUUAGUAACAGUGUUGUUGACUGUGAUAAUGUAAUAUUUUGAUUUGUUUCUGCUCUAGUUUGAGUAUUUUCCAAUUUAAUUAGCUGGUGGACUAAGAAAGACCACCUUUAAAACUGUAUCAAUUUAAUUAGUUUUUUUUUUCUCUUCUUUUUCUGUCCUGUCUUCACAAAAAGACUGUGAUUGCUGGCUUGCAUCAGUGUACAACUUUUCAGGGAUAUGUUUUAUAACAAAAAUGGUCCACAUGAAAUAUAUUGAUUUAAUAUUGAUAAAUUUGAAACCACAACGACGAGGACAAUUCAACACAAUCAGAGGGUCAUCAUCAUGUUGGGUUUCAUAUUCUAAUAAACUAGUGAUUUUGCCAAAUCUUUUGUUGGCCUUUUAUCGAGGGUUAUGGGUAAUAUUUCUGAUUGUUUUGUAACAAUAAUUUUUUAAAGCAAUGAUAUACUUUACCGUCUUUGAUUAUUUUAGACUGAAACAUUGGGGAACUCAAUAUUUUCAAAUUUCAAAAUGUUACUUUCACUUCAAGAGAUCGAGAUGCACUACAUUAUAAUUAUCAACCAAAACAUCGGGAUUCCUACUACGAAAAUGAUUGGAACUGGACUAGGACCCCUGGUCUGAAGGUCAUCACAAUAAAACUAUCAUAUGCUUGCGAUUGUUGCUAGUUGAUGGGUUUGUAUCAUCGUCAUCAUACUCAAAACAUAUUAUUCAUGGGCUUAAAUAACAAAAGCCCAAUAGUUGAAUAGAAACUGCCCAGAACGUUAAUCUCCCUAGCGCACUUAAUCAAGAGCGACCGCAAAUGUGGGAGUAGCGGGAAAACGGUAUAUUGAAUAUCCAGCUGUAAGCCAAAGAAAAUAAAUACUCAAACAAUAUUAAUGUGCCAAAAUAUUCUUAAACUAAAUAAAAAUUUGAAUUACAUACUUAAACUCAUAAUAAAUAGCUAAAACAUAUCUCGUAACUGACAAGUGUCAGUCCAUUUUAAAAUGUAUUGAUUUAUUUUUUUAAAUUAUUAACUUUUAUUUUGUCAUUUUAUUUGUUUGUAAAGUGGCUCAAAUAAUUUAAAUCAUCAAAUUGGUCUUAUUUAUAAUUUCAAAAUUGGAAAUAAAUUUUAAUAUAUGGUGAUAUAUAAAAUAAAAUAUUUUUUAUCAAAUAAAAUAGGUUUAAUAAUAGAAAUAUAUAUAUUAUUGUUUCAUAUUGAAAUAUUUGAUACAAAUUUUUUAAAAUAAAUAGAAAACAAUAAAAACAGUAUCAUAAUUUAAAGCCUAAUUUAAUCUCACUAAAUUUCUUACAGUUUAUAAAAUAUUUUUUAUAUUUUCUUAGUUUAUUUUAAUUGCAAAUUUUAUUAUGUGCUUGCGUGAUAUAUAUAACAUAAAUAAAAUUAAAAAUUUGUAAUUUUUGUUUGUAGUUAUCAAAACAAUGUUAAUUGCGCUAGGCAUAAUGAGUGCGCUUGACCCUAACUUAGUGCCGAAUCAAUUAUUCGGUAAUUAUACGAGAAUUAAUCGGGAAAUAGUUUUGGAAACUUUUUGUGUAUUAUUAAUAUUAAUUACAUACUAUUUUUGUAAGAAAAUAAAAAUAAUGUAAUAUGGUCAAGAUAUCUGUAUCCCCAAAAUACUAUUUUAAUAUUACAUACUAUUUUUGUAACAAAAUAAAAAUAAUGUAAUAUGGUCAAGAUAUCUGAUGCAGCGUAGCAUCCUAUUUCUAUUGGGUUUUAGUUUUAUAGUUUCUUUUUUAUUCUUGUACUAGAUAAACAUUAUUAUUCUUAAAGAUAAUGAUUAAAUACUUUAGGAUAUAAGGUUAGAUCCUAAUCCUUAAGUACUUAGGUCUUUUCUUAUUAGUAUAAAUAGUGAGCUCUUGAUUUGUAAGAGUCACAACUUUGAUUAUUUGAUUUAUAAAACUUAGAGCUUUGUAUUAAACAACUCUUGAAUCCUUACUUCUGGGUAUUCUCUAAGAAUUCAACAGACUUAAGAAGGCUAAGAGGACGGGCAUUCUCAGAAUCCAACGAUAUCUUGUGCAUUAUUAGUUACUACAAAUACUUCCGCUCAUUUGGUAUCAGAAUCCAGGAGCUUUAAUUUUUAAUUAGGGCUCGAUCCAAGGUGAUCUCAUACGAUGACACUGCCUAAUCCUACGAACACCAUAAUGGCACAAGCUAUUGCAGCUGCCGUUGAUGGCGUACUAGCAAAAUCCCAACAUGAGCUGCGACGGUUAUUACGGGACUUCUGUGACACUACUGGCCGUGUUUUUAUUCAACAGAAACAACAACUUACUACUCAAAUUUUCGAAGAGCACGGCGAAGAUGAUGUCAGUGAAAGUUUGGGGGCUAAUAGAAAUCACGACCAGAUACAAGUUCAUGCAUUAGAGGAUCCUCACGAUCAGGUUGGCGACUUCGACGGUAUGCCCAUAUAUGACGUUUAUGACGAUGAACUAUCUACAACGCUCGUCUAUGAUUUUUGCGGGGAGCCACAUCACAAAUCAGACGUGAUGAAAAAAGAGGGAGACCCGUUUUCUCAAAUAACAGAGAUACCCACCUUCACAAGCAACUUGGGAAGAUAUGAUGUUCCAAUCAAAGAUUUUGCGGAGGAGCCCCUCUUUGAUGUCUCUGAUGAUGAAAUUCAAGGCUUUAACCACGAUUUUGAGGUGCAAGUGUUAGUCGAUGAUGCAUAUUUUGGUGUUACAAAGCAACAUAUGAAUUCUGAUUUGGGAGACAAGGAUUUUCAUCGACAAUCUCAUCACGAGCCACCAGAUCACGGUCGAGAUAAAGGACACGCAUAUGUAGAUCUUGUUGCCAUACAUAAAGGACUAACCAAUGGUUCUCAGUUUACGAAGGUGUUGGACGAAAGAAGGCUUCAUCUCAAGUUGAUGCAUGAUCAAGAAGAUUGUUUCAGUGAACUAUCUCUUAUUGGGAAACAUGCAUUGAAAAACAAGGGUAACUUAUCUUCAGGAAUCUCUUGUCUUAGAGAAAGAGAAGAACAGAAAUUUGGAGUCUAUAUUGAACGAAACACAUAAGAAAAUCCGCAUGUUAAAUAAGGGAUCUUCAAGUUUAGACAAGAUUUUAAGCAUGGGAAGAAUGGAGAAGUCAACAAUGGGUCUUGGUUAUCAAGGAGAGACAUCAAAUUCACAAACUGUUUUUGUUCGUGGCAAAUCUGUUGAACAAGACAAAACAAGAGUUGAUUUGGAUGAGGAGUUUAGCUGCGUCGCCAUGAGUGGUCUGUUGGAGUGGGGAGAUACAAAAGAAAAUUAUGAUUUUACUUCUCUUGCAAAUCUUCAUCAGCAUAUCAAAAGUGAGCGACCAGAUCACGAUCAUUGGGAGUUUCUUAGAAGUGAGGAACAUCUUGACCACAAAUUCGAUGGUGAUCCGAUCUUUUAUUUUAGUGAUAGAAAACAGGUCAAUGAUGUUUAUAUAUAUGAAUUAUGCGCUAAUAGUUAUGACGUUGAUCCGUAUAUUCCAUGCAAGUUCGUCAAACCUCACUUUGUCAAAAAGAAGCCAGUACUCAUCUCAGAGAUGAUGCAAGGGCUUAUGGUUACAUUUGCAGUGGCACUUAUGACAGAUUUGUUAGGGAUUUCAAAGAGAUUGAAGCUGAUACUGAACAGUGCAUCAAAGUCUUUGUCUUUCGGUCAUAGUAGUUUGGAGGAAGAAGAGACCAUCAGCUUGGUUCUAAGUUACUAUCUUCUGUAUUUUCCUACCUUUGAGAAAGAAGAACUAGAUACAUUUAACUCUAUUCACGAGCAGCUCUUGAAUAGGGAGAUGGAUGAAUCAGGUUCAACUAAUUGGGUGAUAUUCUGCUCUUCCUAUGCAAUAAGUCAUGAUUUUCACUGUACCAGUAUGGCGUUAGUGUUAGAGACUCGUUUGACCUUGGUGUUCUUUACCGGCUCUACUAUUUCGCACACAUCCUUACCUGGGUUUCUUCAUAUCAGAAUGAUACUGGUGGUGACAAUAAGGAUUCAUGUGGUCGUCAGUUUCAGGGAUAGACCUGCUCUGUUUCUUCCUUGGUUUAGUGAGAAAUUGAUCAUGACUGGUUUUGGUGCCGUACUAUUUUCUGAGUUCGUGCGGAUAGCCCAAAUAUCACUCCACCACCCAAUAUUUGAUCUUCUCAUUGAUCAAAAGAGUUUUGGGGACAGAGAGAAGUACAAGGUUGACAUAAAGUGCCUGGUCGCCAAAAUUGAUUGUUUCUUAGUCGAUGUCUUAGAUGGCAAGAAGGGCUCUAAGCUUUUGUGGCCACCAGGGACUCUAACAGUUCGGGCGCUUCUGCCAUUCCCGCUUAUGAUCUCACCUGUGGCGUUGCGAAUCUGCCUUGUCUCAAUCUCUAUCAUCAUCAACACAACGGUAAUGCAAUUUGCUAAGAUACUUGGGGAUAGGACCUUCGAUACUUUUGAGUAUUUACGGAAGUAAGACCAUCAUUAACACAGGGUUCUUAGUACAUGGUUCUUAGCAGAAUAUAAGAAUCCGACUCUUAACUUUUAACUGAAAAAGUUAAGAGUCGGCUCUUAAAUCUCUUAUUUAAGAGCCGACUCUUAGCAUUUUCAGUUAAAAAUUAAGAGUCGGGUUCUUAUAUUCCGCUAAGAGCUCCGUCCUAAGAACCUCCGUUAAUGAUGCUCUAAUAUUACAUACUAUUUUUGUAUUAUAAUACUAUUUUUAAUCCAUAUAUUAUUUUCGCCAUGCUCUUCAAAAAUUUGAGUAGUAAGUUGUCGUUUCUGUUGAAUAAAAACACGGCCAGUAGUGUCACAGAAGUCACGUAAUAACCGUCGCAGCUCAUGUUGGGAUUUUGCUAGUACGCCAUCAACGGCAGCUGUAAUAGCUUGUGCCAUUAUAUAUGGUGUUCGUAGGAUUAGGAAGUGUCAUCGUAUGAGAUGACCUUGGAUCGAGCCCUAAUUAAAAAUUAAAGCUCCUGGAUUAUGAUACCAAAUGAGCGGAAGUAUCUGUAGUAACUGAUAAUGCACAAGAUAUCGUUGAAUUCUGAGAAUGUCCGCUAUCUUAGCCUUCUCAAGUCUGUUGAAUCCUUAGAGAAUGCCCAGAAGUAAGGAUUCAAGAGUUGUUUAAUACAAAGCUCUAAGUUUUAUAAAUCAAAUAAUCAAAGUUGUGCGAUAUUUUUUUCUUGAGAUGUUGCGUUCGAAACUAUUUUUGGUUAACUAGCCAUUCUUUUCUUUUUAUUAAAUAAGGGUAAUAUUAUUAAAGAUCUCUACUGUAAAAUCAAAUUUCUAAAGAGUAUUUUUAAUUAUGUUGAUUAAAAUUUUAUAAAGAAAAUCUUAUAUAAAUAUAAAUUGAGUGGUAUUUCUUGUAAAUAUUACAUAUGAGUAAGAUUAUUUAUAAUUAAUUAUCAUGUUAAGGUAGAUAACAUACUUUGAUAACUAAAUUAAUUAAUAUUUUGUAUAUGAUAACUAUCAAAAUUUCUGAUAAAUAAUUAAAUNNNNNNNNNNNNNNNNNNNNNNNNNNNNNNNNNNNNNNNNNNNNNNNNNNNNNNNNNNNNNNNNNNNNNNNNNNNNNNNNNNNNNNNNNNNNNNNNNNNNNNNNNNNNNNNNNNNNNNNNNNNNNNNNNNNNNNNNNNNNNNNNNNNNNNNNNNNNNNNNNNNNNNNNNNNNNNNNNNNNNNNNNNNNNNNNNNCCCCAAAUGUUCUUUCUACUAUUCCACCGAUUAGGAGAAAAAGAAGAUACACAAUAUUCGAAUAAAGCGUGUGACGAUAAUAUAUUUAAUCUACUGGAUAAUUAUAAGUUUUCUAUCCCCAUACUUCACAUGUGAUACAAUAUACAUUUACAUUAUUGUAUAUUUGUAUUCUAACAUUUUAAUCCAGUCUUAGUGGAAGACAAAACUACGUGAUUCGUUAUGAAAAGUUCCAUCCUCCCUUCAUCAAUGUUUUUGGUCAAUUGUAGCAAACAGAAUCUCACCAGACCACAUGGUCAUGAUGAUCAACACACGUUGUAUAAAUAAUGUAAAGUUCAUACUUUUCUGUAAUCAUCUUUUGUACUUAACUCUCUCUAUAAAUAUAUAUAUACACAUGUUCUUUGUUCUUAUGACUCUUCAUUAACAAAGAAAUACUGAAACCUAUUUUUCUAAGAACUUUGUGUGAAACAGUGAAGGUCAUUUUUACUACAUAGUCAACUAUCGACACUGAAAUAUCAUGUCUUAUAUUUGUUUGAUGACAAUAUUAUUUUUAUUAAUCAAUUGAGAAAUAUAGCAUGUAAAAAAGAAUAGAGUUAUUAAAAACUAGGUAAAGAAAACGUUCACAUUAGCAUGUAUCUUAUAACUCAUUAUACGCAUCACAAGUUGGAGAAUUCAAACCAUUUACCAAUCCUUCAUAUCUAUUUUGAGCGUUUUAACUUAAAAAAAGAGAACUAUACGGUGCAUGGUCUUAUCAAUGAGACCGGUGAGUUGUUCAACUGCCAGUCCGGUGUAGAUCAAGCAGCCUGCCAUUAACACCAUCCCAAACCAUGUAGGUGUAAGAGUAAACACAGAAUAAAUGGUCUUGUUCACCUCCUUUUUUCCACAGAAAACAUAGUCCUAAUUAAAUCUUCAGCUUCUCAUUCUAUCACCAGUGAGUAGUCGAUUCUUUAUUGAAAAUGAAAGAAAAAUAAGUGAGCCAUAUAAUUCAACUCCAAGAAACUUCUUCUUUCCUUGACCGUAGUUGCUCCCAAGUUGUGGCCGAUAAAUGUUUUUGAUAGAUGUCUUAUGAAUGUCUCCACUGCACCAUGUAAAUAGUAACAUAGUGUGCUAGGUUUAGGACUAACCCUACUUUUUUUUUGGUGCAACGAGAUUAUAUUAAAAGCAAAGGAAAGAUAAAGGGCCGAAAACAAAGCCCAUUACCCAGAUGUUCAAACAAGUGCAGAAACAGAAGAGAUCAGAGCCCGUUUGGCUAAACAGUCAGCCUUUUGGUUUUCUGAUCGUGGAACAAAGGAGAAAGAGAUAGAUUCAAACGCCGAGGAGAUCUGCAUGAUAUCUGAGACGAUACCGAAGAUUUCUUUAAUCUGGAGUUUGUUUUGGAUUGCUCUGAUGAGCGUUUGACAGUCUGAGUAGACCCUGAUGCUGGUGAUAUCGAGAGAUGCGACGGCGAGGAGACCCGAUCGGAGUGCAAGAGCUUCGGCCAUAAGAGGAGAUUUGACAUUUUCCGUGCAUAGCGAUCCGUCGUGGGUUUGUGUUGAUGUCGGCGUUGCAAUGAUCCAUGCCAAUCCUGCUCUCCUCGUGGUAACGUUCCAAGAUGCAUCUGAGUUACAAGUCGAGCUAUUGUCAGUGCCAGCUUCGCCGCGGAGUCGGGUUCCUUGAGGUAGAGCUCUGCUUUUUUGUGUUAUCGUGCCUUGUGCUUGAAUCCAUUCACGUGCAGAGACUAAUCCUCUAAGCAUGGCUUCCUUAGGGUUGAGAGUCUUAUCCUCGAAGAUCAGUUUAUUUCUCGCCGUCCACAAAGACCAGCAGAUCCAGGGGAGGACGGGGGAUGAUAUACCUGAUGGGGGGAGACAAGAGACCUGUCGAAACUUCACCAGCAUACUCUGGAAAUUAUCAUUUGCUUCAAUGGAGGGCCGUGUUGUGAGGGGGACUCUUUGCCACACUUCUUGUGCAAACGCGCAGUUGAAGAAGAUAUGCAUUGGCGUUUCAACUUCUCCACAUCUUGUGCAAUUUACAUUGGUAAGUAAGCCACGUCUCUGAAGAUUUUCCCCAAGUGGGAUUGCUCCUUUGAUGAUAGACCACAUAAAGACUCUUAGCUUUGGUGAACACUUUGCUGACCAAACUUCCUUUAUCCAGUUAAACUCUCCCAUAACCGCAAUAGGAUGGGCGUGUCGAGGAGUAUUUGCUGCUAGAUUAUACCCCGAUUUUGUGGAGUAUAUUCCUGACGGUAACGGUUGCCAGAUAUAGAUGUCUUCAGCGCCUGUUUUGCUUGGUUUCAGUGCUUGGAUCUGCUCGCUCAACUCAGGUAAGACCUCUCCUAUCCUCUGUUUAUUCCAUUGUAGAUCGCUUGUGAGCAAGUCCGAGACCCUGAGGUCUAGGUUGUGCUCAUUGAUAGGUCCAAACGGUUUUAGGUUUGAGUCAAGAGAGAUCCAAGACUCUUUCCACACACUUGUGUUCUGACCAUUUCCUAUUGCCUUUCCAAUAUUGUCACGUAGGAGAUUUCGCCCAUGAACUAUCCCUCUCCAUCCAUGUGAGCAAGCCGAGGGUAGUUCAACCGUAAGAAAGCUCCCUUGGUGGCAGUAUUUUCCUUUCAGCACUCUAGCUAGGAGACAGUCUGGCACAGAUAAGAUCCUCCAAGCCAAUUUUGCAAGAAGAGCUUGAUUAAAGAUUUGGAUAUCACGUAGGCCUAGUCCUCCCAUAGCUUUAGGUGUUGCCAAGUUGUCCCAUGAGACCCAACACAUGCUUCUUUUUUCACUAGACGAGUCCCACCAAAAACGUGUUAACGCUGAUUGUAUCCUUUUACAGAGGCUGAGGGGGAUUUCGAAACAAGACAUCGUGUAGGAGGGGAUGGCUGUGAGAACAGAUUGUAGCAUCGUCAGCUUCCCUGCUUUGGAGAGGAAGCGGGAUGACCAGUUAGAUGCACACUGUCUUAUUCUGUCGACGAUGGAGGUAAAGAGAUCUUUUUUCUUCCUGCCAAAAUGUUCUGGCAAUCCUAGAUACUUGCCCAUUCCUCCCUCUCUUGUGAUUCCUAGGAUACUUUUUGCAGCUGUCUUUACUUCUUGUGGUGUCUUGCUAGAGAAAGUAAUAGCUGACUUUGCUGUAUUGACUUUCUGGCCUGACAGAGCUUCAUAAUCCUGCAGGAGUUUUGACAGUGCGUGGCAGUUUUCUGGAGUCGAAUGGCAGAACAUCAUUGUAUCAUCUGCAAAAAGCAGGUGGUUGAUACGAGGACUACCCCUUGCUACUCGGAUACCUUUUAAAGACCCUUCUCUCCCGGCUUUUCUGCAGAGACCAGAGAGGACCUCGCCACACAAAAUAAAGAUAUAGGGGGAGAGUGGAUCUCCCUGUCUUAUUCCUCGGUAAGGUUUCACUAAUCCGUAGACUGUGUCAUUAAUUAGGAAAGAGUAGGAGACUGACUGGAUGCAUUGCAUGAUUAGAUUAAUCCAUUUGUCGUGAAAACCCAACCUUUGUAGGACCUCUGAUACAAAAACCCACUCAACUCUAUCAUAUGCCUUUGACAUAUCCAUCUUUACGGCCAUUGAGCAGUUGAUCUGAGCCUGAGAUGUUUUGAGAUAAUGGAGCAUUUCAUGAGUGAUUAAGACAUUGUCGGUUAUUGCUCUUCCAGGUAUGAAGGCUGAUUGAUUUUCGGAGAUGAUCGAAUCCAGAACCGUCUUCAGGCGAAGUGACAGAAGCUUGGAAAUGAUCUUGUAGAGGACGUUACAGAGAGCUAUUGGACGGUAAUCAGCGACUUUCUUUGCAUCUGAGGUUUUUGGAAUGAGCCUAAUGUGAGUGUGGUUCAAUGUAGGGGGCAAGACUCCUGUUGAGAAGAACCUCUGAACUUCAAGAACCACUGAUGAACCCACCACUUCCCAGUGAGAUUGGAAGAAACUGGCGGAAAAACCGUCAGGGCCCGGGGCCUUGUCAGGAUGAAUCGCAAAGAGAGCUUCCUUGAUUUCCAAAGGUGUAGGAUCUUUCAUCAGAUUCUCAUUGCAUUUUGAUGAAAUUUGUGGUUCGAGGACACUGGAGAUUAGGGAACUAUCCAUCCUUUGGUUAGCUGUGAAGAGCUGCUCAUAGUACUGACAAAUAAGUUCCGCUAUUUGAUCUUCUUCAAACGUUGGCUCUCCUUCAUCAUUUUCAAGUACUGAUAAGCGAUUCUUUGCUUUUCUUCCUUUAGACAUCGCGUGGAAAUACCCAGUGUUAGAAUCUCCCAGAGUGAGCCAUACUUGUCGACUCCUCUGUCGCCAAAAUUCCUCUUCAGCCUUGUAGGCUUGAAGAAGUUUUGCAUUGAUCUCGUGGAGGUAGGCCUCAUCUGGACUUGGGUUGAUCAUUGCUGUUUCAAGCUCGUCCUUAAGGUUCUCUAUAGCUUUCCUGCUAUUUAUCUGAUGUUCCUUACUCCAUUUGCAGAUGGCCUUUCUACAAAGAUUAAGCCGGGCUUCAACACAGAGAUGAGUAUACGUUUCCCAAACUUCUUCGAUAAUCUUUUUAACCUUCGUGUUGUCUCUUAACCUUCUAUCAUAUCUGAAGAUUCUCUUUCCUCUCUUCUUUUUUGUAUCCAGGAAAGAGAGGAGGGGUCUGUGAUCGGAGCCUUCGAAGUUGAGGUAUUGGCUUCUGCAGGGGGGAAAGAGCUCUACCCAGUCGCUGUUACACAUAGAUCUGUCUAAUAUGCAUUGAACAACGUGAGUCCCCCUUACUCCCCUCCAAGAUAAGUAGUUCCCAGAGUGUUUUGUGUCGAACAGGUCAAGCUUUGAGAGAAAGGAUCGGAACGCGCAGAAAGAACCUUCUGAUCUUUCUGGUCCUCCACUCUUUUCGUUGUUGUCCACAAUCUCAUUAAAAUCUCCCGUGAGGAACCAAGCUUCAUUUGCAUUCGGGUGGAGAUCUGCUAGAGUGUUCCAAACCGCUAUCCUCUUUGAGUGAUCAGGUUCUCCAUACACGAAAGUAGCAUGGAAGCUGAUUCCUUUGUUUGUUAUUGUAGUAUCAAUGAAGUUAUGAGAGGUUGAGCGGAUGGUGAUGUCGAUGUCUUUUUUCCAGGUUAGAAGGAGCCCUCCUCCUCCUGGACUAUGCGGAGAGACCAUGCAAUACUUUUCCUCCAUGAUGCCUUUUAGUUCUUUCAUGACCACACCAUCGGGGUUUUUUGUUUCUGACAGGAAGAUAAUAUCAGGAGCAUUCACCUUGCGAAUCUCCUUUAAACGCUGGAUUGUUAUGGGAUUCCCCAACCCACAACAAUUCCAGCUCGCCACGACUAAGGAGCCGGGUGUUGAGGUACGUGAAAAUCCUUCUUUUUCUUUGAGAUGGCCGGGAUAAGUCUGAUGUUAGGAUGAUUGGCUAGAUUAGAAGGACCUGCAACAUUCCUCUGACUUGCCUCUUGUUGUGGAUUUUCGAUAGCUGUGACGCUGACCGGUGAACGACGGUUAGGAGAUCUCUGCGCCCUAGCAAGGUUUCUCUUAUUUGAACUUGCUCCUUGCAAGGCUAGCGGGAUGGACACUGUUGACCUUAGUCUGGCCGGUUUGAACCUCCUUCUAUUAGUUCUCCUUAAGGUAGUUUCCUCUUCUGUAGGAAAUCUCUCCUCCUGAGCUUCCUUGGGCUGAUCUGUUGUAUUAGUUCCUUCUGUACUCAUGGGUGCAGAGUCAGCUAGGAGCUGGGGGGUUGAAAUAUCUAUUGCCCUUUCCUGAGGAGGUGGAGUUGGGAACAUUGCUUGGUAUCUUGCCACUGCCGCUGUUAAGAUACGGUCGACAGUCUCCUCCAUCUGUCCGUGUGCAUCCCCAUGUAAGACUCUUUGUCUUCUCGCAGCCGAUUCGAUAGGGUCGGGGCAGUUAACGUACUGACGUGUUACCUCUUGCAGAUCAUCCAUGAUUGCUUCCCUUGUAGGGGGUUGGUUUAUGGAGGUAUGGAGUUGAUCUUGCACUUCCUCGAUAGCUAGUGGGGCUCGCAGUGGAGUUAUCUGUUGUAUAGCAGGGGAGUUUACUUCCUCCUCAUGUGUUUCUUUAGGGUACUUUUCUCUCCAUUGCAUCAUUUCCUUCUGUGGUAGGGAGAGACGGUUGUUAACCUUUCUUUGUGGUCUUGCUUCCCUGGACUUCACGUGUUGUGGGGAGAUAUGAAGCGGACCAUUUACCGAAGUUCCAUGUUCUCUAGCCCUUUCUGAAGACUUGUGUUCCAUAUGGAGGGAGGUAUCCGGGGGUGGUGCUCGUGUUUGCUUCGUGCUUACUCUCUCUCCAAAUGGUUUUCCAUGGCGAUCUACCCGUGCUUGGAAAGGUUGAGUUACCGAAGGUAGAUACGCCUUCUCCUUACUCUCUGUUGAGGAAAAUCUUUCUCUGUAGGACUUUGUCCCCUCGGUAUUAAUUCUUUGAUUCUUGACAAUAUCUUGAUAUGACGACCCUUUCUGUUGAUUUUGCAUUUCAGCAUCUCUUCUCGAGGGGCAGUGAGCGCUUUUGUGGGAAAGACGUUGGCAUAUGGAGCAAUGAUUCUCAAGACGUUCGUACUCCAAGGUGAUGUGAGCUUCUUCUCCCGAGUCAAAUUCAAUAAUUGUUUCUUUUACCAAAGGUUUCAAGCCAUCAACCAGGACUCUAACCCUUGCCGUUGUCUUUGUAAGCUCGUGGUUCUCCAGGGUUCCUAGUUCUUCCCCAAUGUCGCUUAUCAUGCGAUCUUGCCAGUAGUGCAGGGGAAGGCCUCGAAUUUUGAUCCAGAAAGGGAUCUGGGAUGGGAAAGAGGCUGAGAUAAUGGGCUCCCAUCGUUGCAAGAUAACCAUCCAAUAGUCGAAAUGGUAUGGCCUGUUAUCUAGGACUCUUUUUAGGUCUUCUUCUCUGUCGAACCUGAACUGAAAACAGUUGUUUCCUAGGUCAAAACCCAAAGCUCUCCCUUGGAUGUUCCAUUGUCGUGGGAGUGAAGGAAUAAGAGCCCAGAUCCGCUGUACUUGAGGGUUUGUCAGACGACCAAUCAGGGUACGAGAGUUAUCCCUGAUGAGAGCAGAUGUGUCUAGGCACGGGGCUUUUAUCCUUUUGAUGGUUGGAUGAUCUGACUCGCGUAGAGCCCCUUUGCCUUUUUCUGCUUCAGUGAAACGCCUUGCCAUCUCCGAAUCGUAUAAGAGUGUCACCGAAGAAACCAGAUUUGUAACUAAGUCUCUAGAUUGCGAGACAAGAAAAACCACCCGAGUAAGCAAACCGCGAAGGUGAGAUUCUACUGGAGGAGUAGAGGUCGACUCCUAGUAGCUGCUCUUAGUGGUUUGAGACACGAUUCCUGGUGGAUUAGGUUCAGAGAGCUUCUUGAGACGUAGAAGGUAGUCCUUGUGGUAUCCCGUAGACAAAACGGAGUAGAAGAGGGUUUCUAAAACUACACCAAGCUCUUUGGAAGCCAAGAUUCACUCAAGAUUUGAAACUUGAAAAAAUGAGAUCGUCGAGGGUGUCAUUUUAGGAAAAGAAGUAGGGUUUUCACGGUGGCGUGUUGGAGGAAAAAGACUACAGACCUUCUAAUUCCGGAAAGGGGGAGGACCCGUCACUCUCCUUGGGAGAUGCGCCUGAAGCCAUAAGUCAGCUCCUCGUGUCCCGUGCCUGGGAGCAGCUUCUUUCUUCCACUUCGUUGUUAUAUAAAGAGAACUAGGACUAACCCUACAUAUUUCCAUUAUCAUACAACAAAUUCAUAAAGUAUAUAGACAAAUGUAAGAGAGACUACUCAAGGGUCAUGACAAAGACUGUUAAACAGCCGACACCCUUACGUUCCAAACCUUAACAGAAAGAUCAAGACUCCCACUAUAAACCAUACAAGAAUAAUCAGAAUUAGAAUCCGAACCGGAACCAGAAACCGAGACAGCCAAACACUUAACAGGUUUGGUAUGUCCUUCCAAAACCGCUAAACAAGAAUAACCAUCUUUCUCCAAUAACCCUCGCCUCCAAACCCUCAAGCUCUUAUCGGCUGAUCCACUCAACACCAAAUCAGACGCAACCACUAAACACAUAAUCGCUUUCGUGUGCCCUCUUAAAGCUCCCACCACAGUCAUAUGUAACUCUUCAUCAUCUCCGUUGCUUAACCUUUCCCACACAAGAAUCGACCUAUCACACGCUCCUGAGUAAAGAACCUUCCCGUCCUCACUAAUGGCCAAAGCGUUCACUGCCGAGAGAUGUUUCUUUAAAGUGGCGACCAGAGAGUGACUCUUGUCUUUCUUGUUCCAUACUUUGAUCGUCUUAUCUCCCGAGCCCGUGUAGCAAAACCCGUCUCUAGACACCACGAUGGCGUUGAUGGCGUCGUCGUGAGCCUUUUCUAUAGACUCCAAGCACUUGAAAUCGGAUGUUCUCCAUAUCUUGAAACUCCUGUCCCACGAAGCAGAGUAAAGCAGAGAGCCGUCUAGUGACAAGGCCAGAGAUGAAACGGCGUCCACGUGGUGAACCCACGUGGACUUCUUGUGGCGGCGGACUUCCACGUAGCUUUUCUGACUGAAGAGGCUCGUGAAACGGUCGUUCAUCGUCGGAAGAGUCGCCACGCAUUUGUACUUAUUACUAUCCUCGUUGGUCUUCCAUACACGAAUCUUGUGAUCCUGAUGAGCGCUUAUCAGCUUGUCUUCAAGUAUAACCAACGAUUUAACCCCUCCGCUCCCGGCGGAAACUAUGUUACCGGUGGAUGAGAACGGUGGUUCACGAGGCCAUACACGUAUGUCUCCGUUAGAAGAGCCGGUGAAGAGUGAUUUCCGAGAGAGGGCGAGAGAAGAGACGUACGAGGAGUGAUCUGUGAGAGUGGCUAGGCACUGGUGCUCGACGGUGGAGCUUUGCAGCGGAGAAGAAAGAGAAGGAACUAGUGGGAGACUUGGUUGAGACAGAAGUGAUACCGACGUGGAUGGUUCUGAUUGGUGAUGAGUAGAUUUCUUUUGACAUUCUGAUCUUGUUUUAUUGCAAGACAGAGGACAAGAACAUGGGAAGAAACUCAUUGUUAUGUUGACUUAGCUGUAGAGCUUUGCUUUGUUUGUUUUGUUGUUUGUCGGGAAUGAUCGUUUGAUAUGCUUUGCUUUAUACGACGAGACGUAUCCCAAGGUAGGGAGGAUUUGGGAAUAUUAAUAUAGUAUUUGAUGUAACUAUAAACAUUAAUAAAUGGUGUUAAUGGGGAAUUAUAUAGAAAGGUUAAAGAUAUAACUAAAAUAAAAAGGCUUAGGGUAGCGUAGGGUGGGGGGACUUAUGAACCAUGUGUCGUUAAUGUGAUAGCUUAAUGAUGUUUUUGUGUUAAAUUAAUAUAUCUUUUGUUCCUAACUUCACUUUUUGUUAUCAUUGUAUUUUUCUUCUAAUUUCUACUAAGAUUAUUUAAUGGUAUUACUUGAGUUGGGUGAUCAAACCCGAUGCUUCCAAAAGUUGAGAUAAAAUUACUUCAUCACGGUCAAAUUGUCAUAAUUAUUUUUCGUUAGUGAUUUACCAUCUUGGACUUGUUCUCAACUUUAAGCAAUUCAAGUAAUUAAGUUAAAAUUAAUAGUUUGAACUUUACAGCUAAAAACAAUUAAAUAGUCUGAACUUUUAAGAUACACAAUGGUCAGAUUAACGGGGAAUAUGUGAACCAAUAUUUUAAUUUGUAUUGAUCAUAGUUUUUUUUCUUCCGUCUUUCAUAAAUAAAUAACCAAAUCAGAAAAAACUAAUAGUUACUUCGUUUGAAUCUGUAUUUUAGUUUUAGUUGUUGUAGUAGCUAUCAUUUUCAUGUUCCUCUCUUCUUGUCUUGAUCACUUUCUCAUACGAUAUAUUGAAUAUUACGGACGGUUCACUAAAUACUUCAUAGUUCAUAUAUUAACAAUACACAAGUACUCCUUUUGUUCUUUUUGAUGAUCAUGAUUAGUGGUGAGAACUACAAUAUUAAUUCAUAAAAAUCAUCUUAAUCUUUCUUAAUUAGUAUCAAACAAUGUAUAAAAAUAGAAACAGUGCAUGAAUGAAGAACCAAUCUUUAUGUAAGAGAAAAUAUAUAUAUAUAUAAACAAAAAUAAUAAAUCGUAUCAGAAUACGCAAACUAAUUAUCUAGUCAAAUCAUGUAAGAGAUUAAUUAUCUACAGAAUGUACAUCAACAAUCCAACGGUCGACAUCAAUAGACUAGUCAAAACCGAACUAGAACCGUCGAUCCUUCCAGCAGCACCGGAGUUGCCACUGCCAGUGUCUCGUUGUUCAGUGGCCGGUGUUGGAGUUCUAGACCCGUUGAAGUUAGGAUUCGAACCAUACAAAUACUGAACACCUUCCACGUCAUCGCUAUGCAAAUCAACCUUACGCCUCCCUGUGGAGAUGGUCGGAAACAUGAUAGAGUCUUGAACCGAGGAAUGUCCUAACCCUAGAAGAUGUCCUAUCUCAUGAACGGCCACCGAUUCAAGAUCGACAGCCGCCCUCUCCGUGAGAAACCCGUCGCCGCCUUCGCCGGAGACUAUCCAAUUCUCGGCGCCGUCAAGGUGGAAAUGUCCGGUCGGCGGCGAGAACGCAUGCGCCAACGUUCCCAUGAAGCCGUCGAACGGUUCACGGUCGCCGUGUUCGCCGGUGUAGAAUCCGAUGCUGAUGUCGGAGGUUGAGAAGCUUUCAACGCGCCUGAAAGUCAGCGGAAUCACCUCGGCCCAGCGAACGAACGCGCGUGAGAACACGCUCUUGACCUCCUCCGCCAAAUUGUUUUGUGGCUCAAACGCGUAGGUUAGGUUUCUCCGGCGCUCCGGCCACCGCGGCUCUCCGGGGAAGAAAGAGUAGCGUUUGACCGCGUGGAAACGUUGGCUCCUCCCCGAAAAGGAGACCUCGUAGGUCCUCCUUCUCCCGCCGUUAAGCAUAGUCGAGGUGCCGUUGACGACGUCGGGAACGCCGCAGCGUGGGAUCACGACGUGUUGAAGAGUGAGCUCGUCGAGUUCUCCGGUGAUGUUUAGCUUGAAGUUUCUUUGGUACAUCUCGACGGCGUUCUUGAGGAUAUCGUCGAAGUCGUCGGAGAAGUUUCCGGGGAGAGUUUGGGGGAUGUAACCGAAAUGUUGGAAGUAUUGUUUAAUCUUGUAAAGGCCAUCGACUUUCAUGCCAGCAUGGCAGCCGGUGAAAUUCAAGAAUGCGUUCCAUGCGUUUUCGGUGGCGUUACGGCGGAGAUCUGGUGGAAUAGCUGAGGCGUUGGGGUAGAAACCGGCGGAAACGGGAGAAGCAACUAGGAACAACAAGAAAGCGCCGAAAACGCAAAACCUUAUCAUUGUAUAACGUUGGUAUUACUUAUCAAAUAAAACAAAAUUUGUAAUGUUGGUAUUUAUUUAGAUUAGAGAAAUUAAAGGAGAAAUAUAUAAGCUAAAACGUGUAGAAUCUUAGAAGCUGAAUUGUAAUAAUUUUUAAAAGAAGAUCAUAGGAGGAUUUUUGCGACUUUGAUUUGGUGAAAGCUUAGGCAUUAUUUGCGUUUGGCGAAUUUUCUUGGCUGAAAAGGCUGAAUUAUUCAAAUGGAAACUUCCUCGGUCUUCGGCACGGUCAAAGGUCUUAUAUGAAGAAAUAAAAGACCACCAAGAGACUGCUACUAAAUGGUGUCGUUUUCUGGAUAUAUUAAUAGUUGAAUUCUGAAACAUUCAUGAGAUAUUUGCUUAUUGGUCUGAAAAAUCAACGUACAAUCUCCACCUUACACGUGAAAUGAGAUGAUUUGUUAUGCAAUCUAUGCAGUACGUCCGACAUAUAUUUUUGCAUUGACCGAUGUCUGUAACAUAUGAUUGGGUCUUGAGCAAGAGAAUGGACCGAUGUCUAGGUAUUAUACAGCAUAUCGAAAAUCCAAGAAUUGAAAAUUUACUUUCAAAGAAGUAUUGUUAUUUGGAAAAUCAAAUUUAAUCUUUAUAUAUGAAGAUGAAAUUACUAAUUUAUUAAUUUUGAGAGACCUUAUAAUCAUAUGAAAUCUCUUAUACUUUCCAAUAUUUGAUGUUAGCGCAAACAUUAUUUCCACCUUGUAGUAGUUAGUUCACCGUCUGAUUUUAAUAUGCAUCUCAGGAGUUAAGUUAAACCAAACCAAACCGUGCUCUUUACAUAACCCAAAUGGUUCAUGUUUUACUCAACCCGAAUGGUUUGGCUUGGGUUCAUCGUCACACAGUCUUUUGAUAAAUAAGAACAUGGACAAUCUUUUAGGACAAUGAGCAUGUCUUAUCUUCUCUGUGGAAUAUAAACUGAAACUUAAAGAUGUGAGAGUCCAACACCUCAUGCCUUAUCAUAAGCGUUCCAUAUAGUGGGAAUGUACUCAAUCUUUUUGCCGUUAAUUGUCCCAAUAUGCUUUUGGCGCUAUCAUCAAAACUUUGAAUCUAGGACUUCCUCGUAAUUGGGUCUUCAAUGGUUACCGAUCGUUCUUAGAGCGGAGUGAAAUUUUCAGUCAUCACUUCAUUCACAACCAUUGCUUUAUAGGGUGGGCAAAAAACCCAAACCAAACCGAUCCAAACCAAACCAACCGAAGUUAAACCAAACCAAACCGUGCUCUUUACAUAACCCAAUUGGUUCAUGUUUUACUCAACCCGAAUGGUUUGGUUUGGGUUCAAACCAAACCAAACCAAUAAUCCAAUAUAUUUUAUCUAUAUAUAUAUAUAUAUGUGUUAACAUAUUGUAAAUUUUAGUUAAAGUUUUGUUUUCCAUUUUUUCUUAACUUCCAUAUAUUUUUUAAAAAAUCCAAAUAUGAUUCAAAUAAUCCUAAUACCUAAAGAUUGUACUGAAAACAAAACCUAAAAACUAUAAGCAUCUAAAUCGUAGCCAUGUCGUUUCGUUCAUCUUCUCCAAUUUUCAUUCUCUAAAUUAUGUAACAAAGUUAUUAUAGGAUCAAUAAAAACAAAAAGGUAGAUGCAAAUAGUGUUUUAGUUAAUAGGUUUUGGAAUGCUUACAAGUCUUUGUUACGCUAAUGAGAUUACAAAUAGUCUGCUCUUUGCUUAUUAUGUAUUUCUUCAUUUGACGUGGUUAACAGUUUUGUCAUCGAGCUUUAAAUUGUUUUUUGUUUCAUAGAUUUUUUAAAGAAAACCAAACUAAAUCUAAACCAAACCGAACUAAACCGAACCAAACUAAACCCAAACCGAACCAAAACCAAAGCUACUUUGGUUUUAAUUGGGUUGAGUUUUAUAAAACCCAAAUUAACCAAACCAAACCGAACCCAAACCGAACCCGAAACUAAACCGAUAUGCCCACCCCUACCUUAGAUUCGGGUUGACAAAAAAAAUCUUGGGAUUAUCUCAAUCUUAGAAAAAAGUUAGGAUUAGAUGAAAAUAUUUGAAACACUACAAGAAAACAUGUGAUUAGCGACUGCAUUUUGCGACUAAGACUGCAGUCACAAAAUUUAACGACUGAUUACUGACUCAUUUGCGACUCAUUUGCGACUCAUUUGUGACUAUAUUAAAUUCGUCACAAUUCAGUCGCAAAUUUACGACCAAUGAUUGUAGUCGCAACGUAGUCGUAUAUUAACGACUGUUUUGUGACUACAGUAAAUUUUAGUCGCCAAUUAGUCGCAAAAGUUGUGACUGUUUUGCGACUCUUUAAACGGGUUAUAAAUCAGUCGUCAUUCAGUCGGUAAAAACCGACACAAAACACGUGCUUAUCAUUUUUUUGGUUGGUGUACUGAAUUUUUGUGGUAACAUUUAUUAGUCGCAAAUCAGUCGGUAUUUAGUUGCUAGUUAGUUACUAUUUAAAUCGUUAACCCUAAACAUAUUUUAAACCUUAAACCCUAAACAAAAACCUUAUAAAUCUAUUAUUUUCAUAGUUUAAAUCUAAAUCUUAAAUUUAAUGUCAAAUUUAAUUGUUUUCAAAAUUUAACUACAAAUCAUAAAUGAAAACCUCAAAUAUUAUACUACAAACCCUAAACUUUAAUUGUGAAGUUUUUGUUACUAUAAUAUAAAAACAUGAUUUAUUUAUCUAUCAUAGUAUUAAACUUUAAAUCUAAAUCUCAAACAAAAUCUUUUCAAGUUUUAACUAAAAGCUAAAUCUAAAACCAAGAUAUAUUUACAAUAAUACACAUAUAAACUUUAAUUAAUCAUUAAACUUCAAACUACCCAUAGUCUCAUCAAACUCUAACAUAAGUAACCAUUGAACUUUAAACUUUCUUUUAUUUUUAAACUAUCAAACUAUAACACCAAAUCUUCAAUUGAAAAUCAAAAUUUAAUCUUUAUAUCUUAAUAUAUACUUCCAAAACACAAACCUUAAAUCUUCAAUCAAACUCUAUACUCUAAAUCUAACUUUAGCCCCUAAACUCUAAAAAUACAUCUAAAAUACUAUAACAUAUCUAAUUCCUCUAAUAUAUCAUAAACCUUAAAUUUUAAAUAAAAUAUGAUACCUCUAAAAUAUCACUUCUAUACCUGAAACACUUAUAUUUAACCAUAACCCCUAAAUUACAAAUCUAAAACUCAAACGAGGUAUGAAAUUAUAAAACUCAAACUUAUGAUCCAAAUCUAUGACUCAAACCAUUCGGGUUUUUUACCUAGUUAGUUUCCUAGUAAACUACUAAAACUAUAAAAAGCAAAAAACGUCGAAGUAUACCCUUAAACGAGAUAUGAUUUUUGAUUGGCCCAUUAGAAAUGGCAAGGAUCACACCAAGUUCAUCAUGCACCGUUCAUAACUCUUAAUCCAAUGGACACCAUUUAAUCAAAAUUUUUUCUUUUUUUCUUCCUUUUCUUAUCUUUCUCCUUUGUCUCUUUCCUCUCAAAAUAGAUCGAAGCAUUCUUUGGCUCCGACUGGUGACCUUUUCGGGAACACGAGGAACGAAUAGGAAAUGAACAUAUAGGAAUAAAAUGGCAGGAAUGAAAAUAAAUGUUUGUUCCUUAUCAAAUUUAACAAGGAAUGCUUUUGUUCUAUAUUUCUCUACACAAAAAGAAAUGGAGAGGAACAAGAAGGAAAAACUAUUCCUUGUGAAUGGUGAAUUUUUUUGGGAAUGAUAAGUAAUUCAGUGUUCCGUUUCGUCCCUUUUGUCUCUUCUUUUCUUUUCAUAUCUGAUCUCCCCUCCUUCUCUGCUCCAACCGCAGCCUCUCCUCCUCUGUUCUCUCAUAUGCUUCCGGACACCUCCGUAACGCCUCCAUGCUCCUCUGCUCCGUGGCCUCCCUCCUCCUCUGCUCCGUGACGCCUCAUCUCCUCCUCCACUCCGUGCGGCCUCCUCUCCUUCUUAGUUUUGUCAUGGCGGCUGCAAGAGGUAAAUUAGGUUUUGUCCAGUCUCACCUUAUAUAAAUCUCUCGCUUUCUCUCAUGUAUCUCUUUUCCCAAUAAUCCUACUUAUUUGCUAUUAUUAUUUUUGUUAAUGUUUUCUUAACAAUCGUUUGUUUAUUUGUGUAGAUCUAAGAAGUAAGAAGAGGAUAAAAUGAAGAAGAUGAAGAAAUGCAGGAAGAAAAUGUCUUGGCUGAGAGUGACAGGUUCGGUAACGGCGGCCUUCUCUGCCGCUGCUCGUUCUCCGGCGCCUGCAUCCACCACAAAGAUAUAUAUAUAUAUUAUGUGUAAUAUAUAUAUAUGUGACUAAUGUAAACAUAUUUGUAUUAUAUUUUAAUUGAUUAAUAAAAAUAAUAAUUUUUUAAAAAAAUAUUUAGUUAAUUUUACGACGGAAAAGUGACUACAGCUUUAUUCUACUCGUCGCAAGUUAGUCGCUAAAUGUUGCGACUAUUGUGCUACUAUCAACCGUUUCUCGUAAAAGAGUCAUAGUUCUGUCGUCAAAUUUAGUGACCGUAUUGCGACUGUUAUGUGACCAAUAAUAUUAGUUGCAAAUUAGUCGUACAUAAAUAGCAAAAUUGCGACUAUUUUACGACUUGUCAUUUUUGCGACGCGUUGAUUUGUGACUACGUACAUCAGUCGCAAAUCAGUCUUAAACCUACAUUUUGCGACUGAUUAGCUACUGAUUCUGUAGUCGCGAAAUAAAUGUUUUCUUGUAGUGAAAUAUACGAUUUUAGAAAAACUCAUAUGUUAGAUUGGCUUGAUGGACAUGAUUCUGCGAGAAUAGAAAAAACUUGAGAUUUGAUAAAGGAAAAUAGGUAAGAAGAGAAUGAAAAAUAUAAUCUUGAGUGAUUAAUUUUUGUCUAUGAUUGUAAUUAAAGCGCAAUGAGCUUUCCACACAAAUAUGACCAAAGAUUUAUGGAAAAGAAAAAUUGAAUCCUCUAAUACACUCCGAAAGGCAAGAAAAUUAUGUUAAACCCCAAAUCUCGAAAAUUUAAUGUUUAAUCAGGUUUUAUGAUGUGUUUGUUUUUACGACAAAAAAAAAAUCAGGUUUUAUGAUAUUAGGGAACUAGCUUUUGCGUUUGUAAGAAUAUGGGAGCCAGUCUUCUUUGUGUAUGUCAUAUAUUUAGUCUUGCAGUGAAAACGAAACUUCAUAUUUUAUUUGAUAUUACAAAUUAAAUAUGGUCAAAUACAUAGAUAUUUUAAAGAAAUAACAUUAACAUAUUUUCAGUUUUAUUUUUGAUAUUAUGGACAUUUUGGUCCACCGUCCUUGUUUUUCCAGUUAUUAUAACAAGGACAUUCUUCUUUAUGUCCAUACGUUCCCGAUGGCACACACAAACACUUUUUACAACAUAAAUUACAAAAGAAUAGGCAUGGCUUCUGGUGAGAUGUUGCUGAGCAUCGGAAAUCGCAUGCUUUGGGACAUUCUUUACACAGAUACAAAUAACGUUAAAUAAAUCACUGUUUAGUCUAUCCAUCAAUUAUGUAAAAAAUAUACUAACACUUUUUAAAACAACAUUACCUUCUGGUUUCAGUGAACCCAGAGGCGGACCUACGUUGUCCAUUAGGUGUCAACUGACACAGGUUAAAAAUAAAUUUUAGUGUUUUCAUCAUGUUCAAGAAAAGACGAAGCAGGUCAUUUGGUUGCGAAUCCUUAUAUUCUGACACACCAAAUCGCAAGUUCGAACCCUGGAAGGAUGCUUUUUGCUUAACUUUUUUAAUUUAUUAGUAUUGGGCCCAAACCAAAUUUUAAUGACCCACCUUAAAAAUAAACAUGGGUCCGCCACUGAGUGAACCUGGUCCUCCUUUCUGAAAUGUUUUAAGUGCACACGUUAGUUUGCUGAAAAGACGAAGCAGGUCAUUUGGUUGCGAAUCCUUAUAUUCUGACACACCAAAUCGCAAGUUCGAACCCUGGAAGGAUGCUUUUUGCUUAACUUUUUUAAUUUAUUAGUAUUGGGCCCAAACCAAAUUUUAAUGACCCACCUUAAAAAUAAACAUGGGUCCGCCACUGAGUGAACCUGGUCCUCCUUUCUGAAAUGUUUUAAGUGCACACGUUAGUUUGCUGAUGACAAAAACUGAAUACAUUAAAAGUUUUUUUUGCAAUACUCAAAACUCAAAGUCAAACACAAAACUAACCUCUCAUUUUUUAUUUUAUUUUUUUUGCUCUAUCCACUCCACAUGUUCAUAUUAUUUACGAAAAUACCAUUAAAUAUAUAUAUAUAUAUAUUCUUUUUUUUUAAAAUGACUUUUUUACUCUCUCAACCUCAUCAUCUUCAAGUAUUUACAAGAUUGUCAUUGCCAUCAAUACCCCAACCACAAUGAACAACCAAUUUGAAGCUCUUAAUGCACCUAAAAUCGAUUUACACUCUAUCUUUCUCACUUGUUAUGAACUAAAAACAACAUCUCUUUCACUUUGCCUCCAUGUUCAUCCAAAAAACUCAAAAAAAACUCAAGCUUUUAAUUCAAUUUUUUUUAUGGUUGAUAGAGCCAUUCAAGCAUACUAUUCUUGAUGGGUUACUUUCGUUUGAGGUUCUGGGUGGUUGGAGAAGACUCCGUGUGCUAAGGAAAUCAUCUCACUAGUUUAAAGUAUGAAAUUGAAAUUUUUUCCAGAUCUGUUCGCGUAGAAGACUUACCCGUAAGUAGUCUGGCUGUAGAAGACUUACGGGUAAGUCUUCUGGUCAAACGGACGACUUACUUGUAAGUCGUCAUCUUUGUUUGUUAAAAAAAAAAUCUAAAGAAUUGUCUAGGAUAAACAGGUUAGUUUUGCAUUUGAUCGAAUUGUGUCAGAUAUUUGAUUUUUCCUGGACGACUUACGCGGAAGUCGUCAAGUAAGACGACUUCCUUGAAAGUCGUCCGACUUACUUGAAAGUCGUCCAGGAUAAGCAAAGUCGUCCAGAUUUAUUUCCUAGAUUCUGGUCAAACUUUGCUUAUCUCGGACGACUUUUUCGUAAGUCGUCUACCUGGACGACUUUCAAGUAAAUAGUCUAGGUAAAGUUAAAUAUUUAAGUUUUUUUUUCGAAUUGCAAACUAACCUGAGAAGACUUAAAAAUAAGUCAUCUAGCUUUAAUAAAAUAUUGAAAAUUUUGUUUACCCAGAGACGACUUACUGGUAAGUCGUCCAGGAAAAUUCAAAUAUCUGACACAAUUCGGUCAAAUGCAAAACUAACCCGUUUUAUCCCAGACGACUUACUGGUAAGUCGUCUAGAGUUUUUUUUUAACAAAAAAAGCUGGAUCUAUUUAAAAUUCAAUUGCAAAAAUGACAUGUCCAGACGACUUACUGGUAUGUCGUGUGCGUCAAUGUUUAGAAAACUUUCAUUUUCUCUAUGUUUACUAAUGUGUUUUAUUUUGAAUUUUUGCAGAUGAUGCGUCAGUUACAUGCAGUGUAUGGAGAAUGGUUGUUGAAAGAUUGUUGUUGGGAUUUUGUGGUUGAUAAUGUCAAAGGAGCGAGAAUGAUUUUUUUGAGUGAAGGCUCGACACAUGCUGAACUUCUUGCAAUGGCUCAAGAAGAUUAUAACCUGGACAUGAGCACAAAAUCUGUGGAGAUAACCUACUCAUUACCAGCAGAAAUGAUGUUGGCUCCAGACACCCCUCCUAUUCAUGUUACAAGUGAUAGACAAGUUCAAAACUUGCUCGAGAUAACCAAAACGCAUGGAGUGUGUAUCAAGUCGUAGCAAGGUGGAAACGGUUUCAGAGUUCAAGGAAGAAGAUGAUGAAGCUGAUGAAUGUUUUGAAGAUGAUGAUGAUGAUUUGGUUGAAGAUGAAAAUCAUGAUGGCGAGGAAGAUGAUGGGGAGGAGGACAAUGGGGAGGAGGAUGCUGAUAUCUCUAUUGUUGCUGAAGCGGACAAGAAUGGUGAGGAUUACAGUGUUUAUGGAAAGGUUGAAGAUGAGAAUGAGGAAGAUGAUGAUACGUGUUUUGAAGAUUUCAAAAAGAUUGAAGGAGGAAGAUCAAAUGGUAAUAGUAUUUAUGUCAACCAGAGUUUUGUUAGCAAGGAUGCACUAUUUUCAGAGCUGCGGUUGACAGCAGUGAGACUUAGGUUCUCCUUCAGAAUAUACAAGUCAACAAAAACUCUCCUUGUGACAACAUGUCCGGUAAGUGGUUGUGAAUGGAAGAUCAGAGCGAGUCUGAAACAUUGGACAAACACGUUUUGGGUAACAAAGUAUGUGGAAAAACAUACAUGCUUAGUGGGAGACCGAAUCGCUCAGCGGAGACACUGUACUUCGAAGUAUGUUGGUAGGCUUUUCAUUGAUCGUGUUGGAAUCAUUGAUGGGUUGAAUCCGCAGCAUAUCACUGAUGCAAUGAAGAACAUGUUUGGCAUGAAGCUUGAUUACACCACUUCAUACAUAGCACUUUUAUAUGCACAAACAUUGGUGAGAGGAUCAGCAGAAGAUGGGUAUUCGCGUCUGCCAUCAUAUCUCAAGCAAAUAUGCUUAGCAAAUCCCGAUUCUAUCACAGCUAUAGAACUUGAUUCUAUCAAUAGAUUUAAGUAUCUAUUUCUCUCUUUUGGAGCUUCUAUCAAAGGUUCUAAGUAUCAGAGAAGGGUCAUUGUGGUGGAUGGGACUCACCUAAGUGGGAAGUAUGGAGGUGUUAUGUUAGUUGCAGCCGCACAAGAUGGGAAUUUUUAGAUAUUUCCAUUGGCUUUUGGGAUCGUAGAUGCUGAAGAUGAACCUUCUUGGGAAUGGUUUUUCACAAAAUUGGCUAGUUGUGUAUCUGAUGAGCAGCCUCUGGUGAUAGUCUCCGACCGGCACACGGCCAAUAAAAGUGCGUGUGAUAAGGUGUUUCAUUGGGCAACCCGAGGAAUAUGUUAUUAUCACCUUCAAGAUAACAUUGUCAAAAAGUAUAAAGGGAAACAUUUCUUGUACUUGGUGAAAGGUGCUGCUUAUGCUCAUACGGUUUCAGAUUUUGACCGGUACAUGGCUGAGAUAUGGAGUGUAAACCCGGACCUUGCAACGUAUUUGGAGAAUGCCGACGUCAGCCUAUGGUCAAGGGUUUAUUGUCAGGGGGACAUGUAAAACAUAAAGACAAACAACAUCGCUGAAUCUAUUAAUUCCACUCUGAAGCGAGCUAGAGGAUUUCCGAUUCAGUUCCUGUUGGAGUUCAUAAGGGAGAAGCUAGGAAAGUGGUUUUGGAAAAGGAGAGAAGAUGCUUUGAGUCUUCCAACUCAACAUAGUCGGGGUGUUGCAUACUUGCUUGCUGUUCGAUCGGAGAUAGUGGAUACGAUGACGGUACAACCAAUUGAUGGAUGGCGAUUCUUUGUGAAAGGUGGCAAAAUGGACUGUGUGGUUGAUUUGGAACAUGGAAAGUGUGAUUGUGGUGUCUAUGCAGUGGAGAAAAUACCUUGCUCUCAUGCUAUAGCUGCUGGAACAUCUGCUGGUUUGCAUAUCUCCACACUUGUAUGUCCAGUGUACUCAAAGGAUUUUCUGUUUGCAGGAUACUCAGAUAAUAUAUAUCCUUGUGUUGAACAACAAGUUGAGGAACAUACAUGCUUUCCUCCGGAUGUAAAGUGUGGUCCGGGAAGACUGAAGAAAUCAAGAUGGCAAUCUUGGUUGGAGGUAUCCAGGAUGAGAGGAUACAAACCCCGGAAACGACACAGGGUUUAUAGAUGCUCAAAAUGCAAAGAAACUGGCCAUACGAAACCACAAUGUAAGAAAUGACGUGGAAGACCUUCAAGUAAGUCGUCCCGAAGGUCGUCCAGUUAGUCAUCCAGGGUUUUUUUCUUCCAGAAGGCCUUCAAGUUAGUCGUCCAGUGUUUAGUCUUACAGAAGACCUUCAAGUAAGUCGUCCAGAAGACCUUAAAGUUAGUCGUCCAGGGUUUUUUCUUCCAGAAGACCUUCAAAUUAGUCGUCCAAUGUUUAGUCUUCCAGAAGACCUUCAAGUAAGUCGUUCAGAAGGUCGUCCAGUUAGUCGUCCAGUGUUUAGUCUAUGUAUUAAAAAUUUGUGUUAUGAACUUAUCUGUGUCAACUUCUUUGUCAAAUUGCACUACAAAACAAAUUUAAGAAGGUCUUGCCCUUUAUAUUAUCUGAAAGGUUACAAAAGGUCACUCCACAGAAGACUUUUUAGACUACUUAUAGUUAAGUCGUCCAACAUUCCAAACGACUUAACUGUAAGUUUUCUGCACAGAAGAUAGGUUACAAAAUAAUCAAGUUCAAAUACACACAUCAGCCUAAUCUAUCAUACAAAAUAAUCUAACGUUGCAUGUUUAUCACCCCUCAUACGCACCCAGGUUGGCAUCAUUGUCCUUGUUUUCGAACUCACGCGCAUCAGGAAGCUCUUUAAAUAUAUCUACCGCCAUCUUAUCCCUCAUAGUCUUCCCGUUGGGCUUAACAAAGUCUUUUUUACUAAAUGACAUCCCAAGAGCAUGACAUUCAAUGUACUUUUGAGCGUACACGCCACAAUCACCAGCUCGGGCCUGAGGUAUAUUGGUCAGUCUCUCAUAUGUGAAUGGCUCCAGGCAGUAUUGGGCACGUUGUUCGUCUGAGGAAGCGCACUCAACAAGCAGAUAAGGGACCAUGUAGAGAAAAGGCUCCAUUACCAUAUCGAGUUCUUCUGGGGAGAUACUGGAAUAAAUGCUGUCCCAGACGACUAUGUGCCUCUUAGGGAUCGAUAUCAACAUAACAAUCCAAUGACUGUCAGUGUAGUUCACUGGCGGAUAGACAUCAUCAAUAUCCAUCCCCAAACCUUGUUCGAUUGGUAAAAUGAUGGGAUAGUGCCUGCAUAAUAAUUCCACGCCCCACCAGGGAGUCUUCUUCCUAAACCGUUCUGAUCGGGCUCCGAGUCUUUAAAAUCCUUGUAGUUGAAUCUCCGUUGCUGAGCAAAGAGAUGAUCAAGGAAGCACAUUCUCUCGCUCCUGAAAUGUUGUGGGUUAGCAUCGUACCUCUCCCUUAGCACAUUAAUCCAAGCAUCAAUAUGCUGCAUAUAAAAUAGGGUACAAGUCAGAAGAUAUCAGACGAAUUACUGGUAAGUCGUAUACGUAGAAGACUUACCAGACGAUUUACAAGUAAUUCGUAGACGACUUACCAAAUGACUUAUUGGUAAGUCGUCUACAAAGAAGACUUAUCAGUAAGUCAUCGAAGUCAUAGCAGAAGACUUACACAGUCCUCCAACCAUUCUAAGGAGGUCCGAAGGAUGUUAUACCACCAAGUUCUACUUGUACAUGGUUUUUUAUCGAGAGGUGUUCUAUAAUGGCUGCAAACACAAAAUGUUAAAAAACAAUCAGUUUUUGUAGACUAAAGGAAGCUAUUAUGGGAAAAGCAAACACUUACGGACAAGUUUUCAACCAAUCAGCGAGCUCCUUAAACUUCUUCUUGUCAAUCCGAAACAGUGGGUUGAUUUUUGUCCAAUAGAACAAGGCUCGGUUCUGGAGCUUUAUCUUUCGAGGAACUAGCAUCUGCGGGCACAUCUGGACCUUUAUCCUCCGGCAAGCUCUUCCUUCACGCGUUCGUCCCAUUAAUACUUUCAUUUUGCAAUAUACAAGAUGGGUUUAUACAAUAAUAACCAAAGAUCCAUUUCAAAUAAUAAUAACCAAUGAGUGUCUUCAAACAUAAAACAAAAUACAUAUACAAAAUCCAUACACUAUAAACAAAGCACACAUGUUCUAACAUACAAGAAACAAAGCAAAUACAAUUUUUCUGUUCUUAUUCUUAAGACUUUGUCUAGUCAAUCUCUUGUUGGGAGAGGAUUCGUUACUAACCCCGGGUUCGAGCAUCGGUUUAGGUGGAGAAGUAGUGUUUUGAGAUGAUGUCCCUUUCCGUUUUGUGGUGAUACCAACCAUCUUCUCCACAGCUUCCACCCUUUCCGACAGAUACUUGAUCUCCUUAAGGCACGUCCCAAACCCUUCCCUCAUGGCAUCAACUAUGUCCUUGAACUUGGUUUUAAUAUCCUCUUUGGUCAACCUACCAACAGUCGUAGUCACCUCUGAACGAGCCACUGUAUGAACCUCUUCACUAGCCUCUGCAGGUGCCUCUUUACGAGCUUUCUUCCGAGGUCUUGGACUGUCUUCCUUCACUACCUUUUUCUUCGCUGGACUCUCAACCGCCGGCUUUGUAUUGACCCAAGUACCGGUGACUUCCCAGCAAUCCAUGGUCCACUUCCAUGGUGUCUUCACAAACAUGAGUUGAUCACCCUAUUCUGCAGUAAAUAGAAGAUAUGAACUUAGAUAUUUGACGGAUUAAGAAAGAUGGAAAGAAAAGACUUCGCAGACGACUUAUAAUUAAGUCGUCUGGAAAGUCUUCCAGCUGGACGACUUAGUAGACUUUCCUGACGACUUAUAAUUAAGUAGUCUGGAUAGUCUUCCCAGACGACUUAAUUAUAAGUCUUCUACUAAGUCGUCCAGUUGGAAGACUUAUUAGACGACUUAAUUAUAAGUUUUCUGCGAAGUCUUCCAGAUUGAAGUAAAUACCUGACUGAGGAUAGCCUCUUUAAAGAAUUUGCGUCCUUUGCGACCUUGUAAGCCAGUAUAGGUGGAGACGGAGUGUUUGGGAGAGGAUUACCAUAAUUAGCACCCAAUUCCGGCAGAGCUGUGUACACCCAGACCUGGAGAGCUUGUGCAAACCCAUUAAUAGUGUAACAACCCGAAAUAUCUUUGCCCUUCACAUAGUCCAUCAGCACCUUAAAUGCGAAUCUCCCCGAUGGAUAAUUCUCAAACCGUUCUAACUCCAUCACUAGCCUUGCCAGACUAACCCGUGUAGGGGUUGAAUUCUUUCUCCCUUCAAUGUAUCCAGUGAAGAUGGCAAGGUACGCGAGCUGCUUGCGAUCAUCCCGAGACCACCGUUCGCAUCUCUAAAAUGAUGCUAUUAUCUCCUGAGUAGAUGGCCCAGCUUUGACAUGAACUCCCAACAUCCCCCAGAAAGAAGUCAACUCCUUUGUAACAACACAGUGAGGUCUCUCAAGGUCCUCGAUGUACUCGCAGUUUAGACCAAUGAUGUUUUCAAACUCUAACAGUGAAAACCUCACAGGUUGUGGACCAACGAGACCCCACAGCUCAUACUUCUUCUUUAUGUCCAGCUGGAAACCGAGCAUGUAGUGAACCAGCCUUGAAGCCCAAUCAAAUCCCAGCUCUUGGAACUUGAUGAAAACUCCCAACUUCGACUCCUUCAGCUCUUCAUAUUCGUCAUCAUGAAGAGCUUUCUUUAAAGCAGUAUGCAACGUCCAACAAGUAUGAUACGAAAUGCUAUUCAUUGCGGGGGGCUCUUCCCCUAAUGUAUGUAUCCUACGGGGGAGUUCUGGUAUAUCCAUUUUUUUUGCCAGCAAAACAAUCAAAGACAACCAUCUCAAAACAAUCAAAGACUUAUAAUUAACUCGCCUGGCAAGUUUUCCAGCUGAAAGACUUAUAAUUAAGUCGUCUGGAAAGUCUUCCAAGACUUCUAGUAGAACAUUUUAAAGACAACGUUUUAUGUUCAUCUUUUUCUCAAUCAAUCACUCGACAGUAAGAGAUAUAACUUACCGGUGGCGGAGUUCAACGAGACGCCUCUGACAGAAUGUGCGCUAGGGUUUCCUCUCAGAUCUUAAAUAGAGGAAGCGGCUGUGAGAACGGUGGUGAGAACGACGGUGAUAACGGCGGAGAGAUAACCGGCGGUGAGAAUGAUGGAUUAGAGAGAAUCGACAGAAAUCACCUUUGAGAGAAACGGCGUUGGGGUUUUCUGAAUUUCGCGAAAAAGUGAAUAAAAAAAAACACCUUAUAUAUGUCCCAUAAAUAUUUCGGUUAGGUUUUAACGUACAUUGUAAAAUUAAAGGUUCGGUCCGGUUUGGACGACUUACUAGUAAGUCGUCUGUUGAAUACUGUAUAUCAGACGACUUACUAGUAAAUCGUCUCAGACCCUAAACUUAACCCCUAAACUAAAUUAACUAAAUUGACUAAAUUAACUAUCUAACCAUGUUAUAAAGCCGUAGUUAUACUUAAGUAGUGUUUAUUAUACACAAAUAAACACACUUGGGUAAAUUUUAAAGUUUUUUAAAAAAACAUUUAUGCAUUCCAAAAUCUAACCCUGAGAACACAUACAAUACUAUAACAUAUGUUGGCAAAACCUAAACCAAAGAAUAUCAUGACUCACUACUUUCACUCAUCUAUGUUGAAAACAAUUAACUUUUGUUAUAUAUUAAUUUAUAUCUCUUAAAACAUAUGUUAAUUACAUGAUUUCAAUUUUUUACUUAUCAAAAUAUUUUUUACAAAAUUUUUUAAAUUAUUUCUAAGUAGUACUAGACUAGACGACUUUCCAGUAAGUCGUCUGGACGACUUACGGAGGCUAGAAACGUAAAAAAAAUUCGGUUUUUUUUGUUUAUUCACAAAGAACUGGUUGUAAUUUCAAUAGCCUUUUAGGUUACUUUUGCAUUUGAUUCAAGUUUGUAUUUACUUUUCCAUUUGAAAUCAAGUUGUGAGUCAUAUUUGGCAAUUUUUCCUACAUUAAAUUUACAAAUACAUAUAAUUAUGAUCUAUAAAGACAUACCAUAUGUAGUUUACAAAAAAAGAAAAGAAGAUAUACCAUAUGUGUAGCCGGGGCUUCAGAUGGACUCUCUAGUUCAUCGGCCUGUAGAAAAAAUAAACAGAAAUAUAAAAUCAGAUUUUACUGAAAUUAUAAACCAAAAUAAGAUGAAAAAGUAGUUGAUUAUUACAUUGGAAAACUGAGCAGCAUACAACAAACUGAAUACAUGAAGGACAACAAUGAGUUUCAUCAUUAUUAUUAUUUUUGUUAUAAAUGAUGGAUGUCCAUAACUAGCCUAUACUAGAGAGAGAAAACCGGCACCCUAGAGAGAGAGAGCCGGCGGCUAGAGAGAGCCGGCGGCUAGAGAGAGAGAAAUCCUAAUUUCUUUUUCCUUAUUGGUUUAUGAUUUGUACUCUUUCCAUUAUUCUAUGACGGUAUAAUUCCCUAUAUAAAGGGCUUCUUAUGUUUAAGAAUAAGAAGAAUAUACAGUUUCUAUUCUCUAGUUUCACAACACGUUAUCAGCACGAUUACUCUAAGAACCCUAAGCUAAAAUCCAAAAUCGAUAAAACCUAAGACCCUAGCCAACGAACCCUAAUCCCGAUCGCGAGAACCAUCCCGAUCGCGAACCUUCCCGAUCUAAGCUUCUUCGCGUCCCGAUCAGUUCCAGCUCACGGCGAUAUCAGCUUGGACAACUAACGUUCCAGAUAUCAGCUUCAACCUGUUCGCGUCCUGAUCUAAGCAAGAACAGCUCGCGGCCUUCUCUUGUCCGAUAGACGAUCUCAGCCAGCUCCCGUUCCCGAAGGACAGCUCGCGGCCCUCUCUUGUCCGAUAGACGAUCUCAGCCAGCUCCCGUUCCCGAAGGACAGCUCGCUUUCCCGAUCCAACAGACGACGUCUCAGCUAGUUCCAGCUAGUUCGCGUUCCCGAUCAGAAGGUCUUCUGAACGUCCCAUCUCUAUUUGGUGGUCAAUUCAACCCGAUUGGAGGUUAAGGUAAAACUGAAAACCUAAUAAUCAAACCCUAAGGUAAUAAAUCCAGACCCUAAUACCUGAAAUCGAAAUUGAUUGCUUGAUCUGAAUUGAAACCCUAAUGCAUUAAACCCUAGUCGCAUAUAUGCAUAUUGCAUAUCAUGCAUGAAAUCAAGCAAACCCUAAACUUGAAAUCGAUUUGAUUGUUUGAUUGAUUGAAUAUGUUAUGAGCAAAUGGAAUCCGUAUGCUACGUUGAUUAAUAAAACUAAUUGAAUGUUUUCUUGAGAUAAAAAUCGCAUGCUAGUCUUGAUUGUUUGAUUGAAUUAAAAUUAAAAUCGCCUCUAGGUUAAUUGUUUCAUAUAUUUAAAACCCUAAUCGCAUUGAUUGAUUGAAGAUGAUCUAUUAGGAUGAUAGUAAUGAUGCUUGCUUGAUUGAUUGAUUGCGGUUACUAUUAUGAACACUUAGAAACCGAUUGCUAAGAUGUAUGAACCGAUUGUAUAAUGAACAUUUAGAAACCAAAUGCUAAGAUUGAUCAUACCAUGUCUUGGCCGUGCGGCUUGACUUGCAUCAUAUCCGAAUGAGCUGAUUUGCAUCAUAUCCGAUUGUCUUGUAUGCAUCAUAAGAACAUUAUAAUCUUUAAAGAUCUAAAGAAUGAAAUAUAUGAUUUCAGAUGUCGAAAAUCAACAACUUGGAUUUUGCUGCCCUAAAUCUCUCUGGAGAUAAUUACUUGCAAUGGGCACUUGAUGCUAAGAUCAUCCUGAAAUCCAAGGGACUCGGUGAGUGUAUCACCGAGGACAAUGAUGCUAGUGAGAAAGAUAGAUACAGAGCCAUCUUGAUCAUUCACCAUCAUCUAACUGAGAGUCUCAAAGAUCAGUAUCUGACCAUUGAGAAUCCAUUAGACCUUUGGACAGAAUUGAAAGCAAGAUAUGAUCACCAGAGAACGGUGAUCUUACCAAAGGCUAUGUAUGAUUGGAGGAAUCUUAGAAUCCAGGACUUCAAGUCCGUGGAUGAGUAUAACUCAGCCCUAUUUAAGUUUGUUUCGAAAUUGAAACUGUGUGGUGAGGAUAUAACAGAUAAGGAUAUGCUUGAGAGAAAAAUUUUCACCUUCCACACAAGCAAUGUGUUGUUACAACAACAUUACCAUGAGAAGGGCUUCACGACUUAUGCUAAUCUGAUCUCUUGCCUAUUGCUCGCUGAGCAAAACAAUGAACUGUUGAUGAGAAACAGUGAAAUGAGACCUUCUGGAUCAACUCCAUUACCUGAUGGUGAAGAUGAUUUUAAUCAUGACCAAUACGAUCUUAUGGAUUAUGAAACUUCAGAUUGUCUAAAAGAUUGAAGUUGAUUUUGACAUUUGUGUUCUAAAACUUUUGUGUUCUUUGCUUUGGUGUUGUCUAUGUUGUCAUUUCUUUGAAUUUGUUUUAUUAAACUUAAUAAAUGAAUGAUUUUUAUAUAUGAAGUCUCUAAGUAUCAUCCUAUGAAUCUUGUUUUAGAAAUGAACGAAAACAAGGAUGUAUUCGUAGUAGACAGUGGGUCAAGCCACACGAUCUUAAGAGACAAAAGAUACUUCAUAAACUUAACCCUUAAAAACGCCAACAUCUCCACAAUUGCGGGUAUAGCUAGUCUCAUAGAGGGCCACGACCAGGAUAACAUCCUGUUGCCUAAGGGUACGCAUCUAGAGAUAUCUGAUGCAUUGUAUUCACCCAGCUCUAAGAGAAGCCUAUUGAGCUUUAAAGACAUUCGAAUGAAUGGCUUUCAUAUUGAGACUAAGGGCGAAGGAAACAAAGAGUUCCUUCAGAUCAUUGAAAUCGCCCAAGGCAAUAAGAAAAUCUUAGAAUACUUUCACUCUCUACUUGUCUUUACCAUACCAAAGUUAGUAUCAUUGAGGCCAAUGCGACUUUUAACAAAGAGGCCAUCAAAAAUUUCACUCUUUGGCACGACCGGCUUGGCCAUCCCGGUUCAACCAUGAUGCGUAAAUUGAUCUCGAACACUAAUGGCCAUACAUUGAAAGAGAAACGAGUUGUUCCUAAGAACAUAACGUGUGUAGCAUGUUCACAAGGGAAACUCAUCGUUAGGCCAUCACCAGUUAAAGUGACUAAGAAAACAAUAAACUUUAUGGAAAUAAUACAAGGAGAGAUAUGUGGACCAAUACACCCACCUUGUGGAACGUUUAGAUAUUUCAUGGUCAUCAUUGAUGCGUCCACGAGAUGGUCGCAUGUCUGUCUCCUGUCGGCCCACAACUUGGCGUUUGCGAGGUUGCUUGCUCAGAUAAUUCGAUUACGAGCUCAUUUUACAGAUUUUCCUUUAAAGACUAUACGUCUUGAUAAUGCUGAUGAAUUCACGUCCCAAGCGUUUAAUGAUUACUGUAUGUCCAUGGGGGUAAGUGUGGAACACUCCGUGGCACAUGUACAUACACAGAACGGCUUGGCCGAAUCAUUUAUUAAACGUGUACAGCUAAUAGCUAGACCAUUGCUUAUGAGGUCGAGACUUCCGGUCUCAGCUUGGGGACACUCCGUCCUUCACGCGGCUGAACUCAUACGCAUCAUGCCAUCUAGUGAACAUAAAUAUUCUCCAUCACAAUUGCUUACGGGUCAUGAGCCUGACAUAUCCCAUCUCAAGACAUUUGGCUGUGCCGUUUAUGUUCCAAUUGCUCCACCACAGAGAACAAAGAUGGGACCUAAAAGAAGGAUGGAGAUAUAUGUUGGAUAUGAUUCUCCCACGAUUAUUAAGUACCUUGAGCCAAUUACGGGUGAUUUAUUUAAGGCCAUGUAUGCGGAUUGUCAUUUCCAUGAAUCCGAACAUCCAACAUUAGGGGGAGAUAAUAAUAAGCUGGUAAAAGAAAAAACAUGGAAUCAAACAUCCUUAUCUUGGCAAGAUCCUCGGAAUCAAGAAUGUGAUUUAGAAGUCCAAAAGAUAAUACAUUUACAAAAGCUAGCUAAUCAAUUGAGAGAUUCCUUUGCUGACCGAAAAGAGUGACAAAGUCAUAUAUACCAGCUGCUAAUGCACCAAUUAGAAUUGAUGUUCAAGAGGGACACAAUCAAGUUGCUACAGAGUCUAGACAACGUUGAAACGUGGUAGACCAAUAGGUUCCAAAGAUAAGAACCCUCGGAAAACAAAGAAAGGUGAUGAAUCCGAGGUUGGAACCCCAGACAUGGCCGCGGCCGAUCCUACCCGAGAUGUGGCCGCGUCCGACCAUAAGGCUUUAGACAUGGCCGAUGGUCCUGAUGUACCAAACAUUGAUGCUUGGGACGCCAAGCUUCAUGGUACUGAUGGUCCUGAUAAUAAUGAGAUCUCAAUAAAUUAUGUCUUGUCUGAAAUACAAUGGAACAGAAAGAAUGUCGACAUUGAUGAUAUAUUUGCAUACAAGAUAGCACUUGAACCUAUGGAUUUAAACGAGGAUCAUGAACCCACGUCUAUUUAUGAGUGCACUCAACGAUCAGAUUGGAUCAAAUGGAAAGAAGCUAUAAACGUGGAGUUAAAUUCUUUAAAAGAAAAGAGGUGUUUUCGGUCCUAUAAUCCGAACACCAUAUGAUGUUAAACCAGUUGGAUACAAAUGGGUUUUUGUGAGGAAAAGAAAUGAACAUGGUGAAGUCGUGAGAUAUAAAGCACGGCUUGUUGCACAAGGAUUCUCACAGAGACCAGAAAUCGAUUAUGAGGAAACAUAUUCCCAUGUGGUGGAUGCUACUACUUUUAGAUUCCUGAUAAGUCUAGCUAUAAGAGAGAACUUAGACUUGCGGUUAAUGGAUGUAGUAACUACAUACUUAUAUGGUCCACUGGAUAAUGAGAUAUAUAUGAAAGUACCAGAGGGUCUUGAAUUGAAAGACAAAUCGAGUUCUCGAGAACAACACUGUAUAAAGUUGAAUAAGUCACUAUAUGGACUGAAACAAUCAGGUCGAAUGUGGUACCGUAGACUAAGUGAGUACUUAGUGAAAGAGGGCUAUAAGAAUGACCUGAUCAGUCCAUGUAUUUUCAUAAAGAAAUUCAAAAAUAAAGGAUUUGUGAUCAUAACAGUAUAUGUUGAUGAUCUGAAUAUCCUAGGAACCUCUGGAGAGAUUUCCAAAACAGUUGAAUAUCUUAAGAAAGGAUUCGAGAUGAAAGUUCUAGGAAAAAUGAAAUUUUGUUUGGGAUUAAAACUUGAGUACAAUAAAGAUGGAAUCCUUGUGCAUCAAGUGGCAUAUACAGAAAAGGUACUCAAGAGAUUUAAUAUGGCCGAGUCUCACCCGUUGUCGAGCCCCAUGGUCGUGAGGUCCCUCGGCCUGGACACUGAUCCGUUCCAUCCUAAGAUGGACGAUGAAGAUGUCCUUGGUCCCAAAGUACCAUAUCUCAGUGCCAUAGGAGAUUUGAUGUAUCUGGCUAGUCACACACAACCAGAUAUAUGUUUUGUCGUGAAUCUAUUGUCUAGAUUUAGCUCUUGUCCGACCCAAAGGCACUGGAACGGGAUUAAACAUGUUUUUCGUUACCUGCAAGGAACGAAAGACUUGGGUCUAUUUUAUACUAACCAAAACAAAGAAGGUUUAGUUGGUUUUGCUGAUGCAGGUUAUCUUCUUCACGCACGAGCUACAGAAAGCCGGCGAGAUCCAAGUGGUACAAGUGCGUUCCAGUGACAACUCAGCCGACCUAUUCACUAAAUCACUUCCGACUUGCACGUUCAGGAAGCUCACGCAUCAGAUUGGGAUGCAUAGACUGAAAGACCUUCAGUGAUGUUCAGAACAUGGGGAGUAAUACGUGUUGUACUCUUUUUCUUUCACCAUGGUUUUGUCCCACUGGGUUUUCCUGGUAAUGUUUUAAUGAGGCAACAUCCAAAGCGUAUUACAAACUCUGUAUGGUUAUGACAUCCAAGGGGAAAUGUUAUAAAUCAUUUUAUGGGUGUCCAUAACCAGCCAACUAGAGAGAGAGCCGGCGCCCUAGAGAGAGAAAGAGAGAGAGCCGACAGCUAGAGAGAGAGAGAAACUCUAGUUUUCUUUUCCUUAUUGGUUUAUGAUUUGUACUCUUUCCAUUAUUCUAUGACGGUGUAAUUCCCUAUAUAUAAAAGACUCCUUAUGUUUAAGAAUAAGAAGAAUAUACAAUUUAUAUUCUCUAAUUUCACAACAAUUUUUUCUUUCUUAUACUUUUGUUAUUAAAAUUUUAUGUAUUUCACCGGUAGAUGAGUAUCUUUUAUAACCAAAAUAUUGGCUUACUAUAGAAGGUUUUUAAUUAGUAAUUGAAUUGCUAAAUUGGUCAAAACAUAUAUUAUCAUUCCAAAUUAGCUAAAUACAUAAUGGUCAAAACAUAUAUUAAUAUUAUCAUUCCCAAAUUGCUAAAUACAUAAUGGUCAAAACAUAUAUUAUCAUUCCAAGAUAUGUUUUCUUUGCUCAUAUAUUUCUUAUUUAAUGAUUUCUAAAAAAAUCGACAACAUAAAUUACUUACAAUAUUUAAGUUUGAUAUCACCUUUUGGUAAAAAAUUAAGUCUGACUUUGGAUAGUGAGUACCGAUAUCGAUAUCGAUAUCACAAAGACACAAAUUACUGUAUUCUGCUACGUGACAUAAUCUGUAUUUUGAAUUUUGCCAGUUAAUACAUGACUAUUGGAGAUACAAACCUAUUGUGAUAAUUCGAGUUUUGAUUUCAAUAUAACCAAUCCACAAGUCAUGGAUUAGAUAUGUACGUGUGGGUAAUACAUGAUUACAUGAGUACUAACAUCCCAAGAUUUGAAAGAGAUAAAACCUACGUUCCACGGAAGCUUCAUCGGACGUCCGUUUUCUGCUUCGGAACCGGAAUCAGAAUCGGAACAUUGUGGAAGCUUGCGGAAUCUCGCUUCCAAAACGUUUCUAAAAUAUUCUCUUUAAAAACCUGUUGGAAGCUUACGAUUCUGUUUUGGAAUCACGCUUCCGUUUUUAAAAAAAUGUAAUGUAUAUCAAUAAAAUAUAAACCCAUAGUUUUAAUCUAUAUAAAAUAAAAAAAAUUAAUAGUAAUGAAUAUUGAGUUAUAAAUAUACAAAUAUUAAAAAUAAUACUAUAAAUUAUAUUUAUGCAUUGAAAUUUUUUAUUAAAGAUAUAGCACAUAUUGAAAUAUAUAUUGUGUCAAUUAUUUAUGAAGUAUUAAAAAUAAUUAAUAUAAUAUCUUUUGUAAACUUAAUUUAUGUGUAUUUUUACAGUUUUAAUAUAAAAUCAUUUCAAAAUUAUUAUAAAUGAAUAAAUGCUUUAUUUCAAAUUUAAAUCAUAUAAUUUUUAGUCCUAAUUUUUUUAAAAUUUUAUAUAUAUAUUUAUAUAUGGAUAUAGGCUUCCAACACGUACCCGCUUCCUAAUAUUUUAUCAUAAAACACAGUUUCAAAUUUUAAAAUCUCGUUCAACGAGAUUAAUAAUCUGUAUAGCUAGAGAAGACUCUCCCAUUAUUCUUACUAGUAUAUUUUCAAAAACUAAUGCAAGUUCUUUAAACGUCCAAAGAUUAGCAUCCAUUUAUAAAACUGCUUAUAUCCACAAGGACCACAAUGUUCUUUUUCGUACCAAAAAGUCAUUUUAAGAAUAUAUGAAGUUAAAUAAAAAGAAAUCAAUCAACAUAGGUUUGGACGACGAGGACGAGGACGAGAAAUCUACGAGUCGGAUCUUCUGCUUCCGUUGCUAUAGCAACACAAAUAUAUAUCUUCAAAGACUUCUUGGAACCCAUCAAAAUUCUGUAUCUUUAACCGAUCUAUCCAGUGAUGGAUUACAUCCACCAAGUUUUCACUCUCUCCUUCAAAGAUUACCUCUCUAUAGACUUCAACUCUUAUGCAUUGAAACAAGUAGCACCAGCUGGAGUAUAUGUUAUAUUAUAUGCGACAUUUUUAAAAAUCGUGUAAGAAAAAUUCAAAUCCGGCCCUAUUUCUAAAGAUUGAACUUGUUUAAUGAAAUUUAAAAGAUAACACUAAUGAUAUACAUUUAUACGUUCUGAAUCGCAAGUGUCGACUCCUUUGUUUUGUUGUUAAAACCAGCCCAGGAGAAAGUGAAGUACAAAGCUGACCAAUGUAAGUAAUGCAAUAUUGCAGUGCAACUAAAGCAUGAUGGAUCGAGACCACUGAAACUCAAAACCGCAAGUGAAAAUCUAAAGGACGUCCACAGGUUCAACUCAUUCUUUCUUAUCUCACGGACAGCUUUUUUCUUCUUUGUUGGGCUUAAUUCUCUAAUAUGGUUUAACAAAAUAAAAAGCAAGUCUGUGUAUAUAUUCAACUCUCUCUUUUAUCUCUCCUUCUCUAUUCAGACGCAUGCGACCGAAAGUAGGUCAGACACACUGAUAAGUGAGAUAACAAUGUGAAAAUACAAGAGAAACCAAAAGGCAUUGAGAAUUUGAGAGCAACGUUUAAGUGGGAUGAGGCAGCAAUUCGUGGAAAUUUUGGGGCCUUAAACAUUUAUUAAGAACCUUUCUAAAAAUUUUUUCAUGAAUAUAACGGAGUAAUAAACAGAUAUAUUUAAGAGCGUGAAAAGAGUACAGUAAUACUACAUAAAACCCACAAAUACAAUUCGGAAAUAUGAAACUUUAUGCUUCAAUUGUAGAAAAGAAAUUAGAAGCAAAAAUUGUUUAUUAUUUCAUUGUGAAAUCUGGCUUUAGAAUCUCGAUAUAUUAUAAUCUAAGCAUGUGAUAAGUCAUCAAUCCAAAAUAGCAAUUAAGAAGCAAACAUAUUCACCCCCUAAAUAUACUAGAUCGUUUUUCGUAUACUUUUAAUUUUUUUUUCAUAUUUUAUCAUAUGUAAAUUAUCAUCUUAAUUUUAGAUUAAUUGUGUUUAUAUGAUCAAUUACAACUUAUUAUUUUUACUUUCACGAUAAAUCUUUUGUAUAAAUGAGGAAAUUUAGUUUUAAAAUUUUAUUUAUAUUAACGUUUUAAAAUUUUAUUUACAUUAAUCUCAAAUAAGUUUCUAUUAUAUGAAAUGAAAAAGAGUUUGAAUUACUUUUUUUUAUUAUGUUUGGCAAACUUUAAUUCUGUAUAAGAUUUGAAACAUUUUAGGGAUCAAAAUUUUAUAUAAGUAAACACAUCAGAACAAAAAAAUUUGUUCAAUAAUUCACCUGAAUUUAUUAUUAUUGUUUUACGUAAAUUUUAUAAAAUCGAUGAUUAAUAACUGUUUUAGAAACGAAACCGUUUAAAAUUUGUCUAUGCAUUAUUAAAUGGUAAAAAUAUUAAAUUAUAAAAUAAUAUUAAUAUUAAUUGGAAGUGACGUACUAUUAUUAGUGACCAAUAAUUUAAAUAUAAAAAAAUUAUUGAUCCGUACUUUGAUAUUUCUUAGAAAAAUUAUUUAUUCAGUAGUUGAAAAAAAACAAAAUAAUAAGAAUUUGCCAAAUUAUAUUAUGUUUUUAAAAUAAAAUAAAAAGUAAAAAAAAAAUAGUAUAAAUAUUUUUUAACAUUGUUAACGCCGUCAUCAAAAAAAUAAACUCUAAAUCCUAAACAUUAAACCCUAAAAACUAAACUUUAAAUUCUUAGAUAAAUCCUAAACCCUUGGAUAAACUCUAAAUCCUUGGGUAAACUCUAAAUCCUUUAGUAAACCCUAAACUAUAGGGUAAAUCCUAAACCCUAGGGUUUAGGACUGAGAUUUAGAGUUUUGCUGACGGCGUUUAUGAUUUAGUGUUUAGUGUUUAUGAUUUAGAGUUUAGGAUUUACCCAAGGGUUUAGGGUUUAAUGGUUAGACUUUAGAGUUUAGUGUUUUACUAACAGCGUUAAUAAUGUUUAAACAAAGUCAUUUUUUGCAGCCAGUACUAUUUUUUUAAUUUACUUUUUUUAAAAAAAAAAAAUUUAAAAACAUAAUAUAAUUUAGCAAAUUUUUGUUAUUUUGCUUUUUCUAAAAAAAAUUAAAUAUGAUAUGACAGGCUAUAAGUGGUUGGUGAACCUACGCUCUCGGAGGUAAACCAAAAAAAAAAAAAACUCUUCUUAGAAUGUGUAGAUGUUGUUUUUGUAAAUUUGUUCUAAUAUAAUUUUGAUAACAUUAUAGUAAAUAAGUCUUAUUUGGCGUUAGACUUCUGUAAAUUGAAACACAAUUAUGGAUAAAUUAUUUUCUAAUUAAAUAUAACGCAUAAUAGUAUAUGAACCAAAAUUUCUUUUGAAAAAAUAAAUUUAAAUAUAUGGAAGGAAAAAACAUUAGAAGCUGCAAUUAGCCAUGAACAUCUUUUUUAGAUUUUUUGGAGAAACAAAUGUAUGUUAUAAUUCCUGAGAGAAUUUUAAUUUUUGCUUUUACCCCAAAUUUGAUAUCAUUAUUUAAAUUUAUCUUUAAGAGAUAACUAUUUUCAUAAAUACUUUAAAUUUCUGAAAAGCUAAAACUGACAUUAUAAAUCAUUUAAAAAUGUUUAAAAUCAUUUAAAAAUGUUUAAAAUCAUUUAUAAAAUAUUUAUAAAGGUUCAUAAAUUCAACCUCAAUCCAUAAAUAAUCUACUAAUACUAAAAGGAGUAUAUCCUUUAUAUUUAUAGACUUACUUUUUAUUUUUGAAAAAUUAAAUGAGAUACUAAGGCAGCAUAAAGCAAAAAUAGGAAAACCAUAGGAAUAAUUCAUGAAAACUUUCUUUCUCUCUUAAGCUAUGUCAAGUCCAAAAGACGGAGAAAAACUACAUGUGUAACGGCCACAUUGCUGAAAACUAACUCCUCUGUUGUUCCUGGAAGCUAGACGACGGCCAUUGGUUUUUGUUGAUAUACUUAUGGCAGAAAAGAUACAGCCGAGACCUUAAAGGACAUGGUAGGAAGGUCAGAUCCAUUUACUUAUCUCAUCAUCACUUUUUUCUUCUGACCAGACUUCUUCUUUCUACUGAGAUAUGAAUUGCCUUCUAUGUUGAAAGUUUUUUACUUUGAUAGCACUCGCUUGCUCUCUCCAUAUAACUGAAGAGAAACAAUGUUCUAAACUUUGCACAUUAGCUCAAGCUGUUCAAGACCAAUUCCAGGAUCACCGGCUGGAGCUGCAUAAGAUUUUGGUUUUUCAACACCUGAGGACACCAGCUAAGGUAUAUAAAGACUUUUUACUCCACAUAAAUAACCAGAUAAUGCAGAGCCAACACACAUACAAUAAAAAGUGUGAAUUACCUUGCUAGCACACGUUCACACCCCAUAUCCUUGAAACGAUUAGUAGCCUAGGAAAGAAAAUAAAAGAGCAUUCGUUAAUCAGUAAGAAGAUCUAUGUCACAUAAAAUGGAUAGAAAGUUUGAGAGAGAAGAAUAAAGUUUGAAAGUCUAUUGAAUCUCACAGUAAAGGCUUAAAGUUUACAGAUAAAAUGACAGUAUGUGCAGAAGCAUAUAGUUAGAGGUACUCAGUGUUAGAAGAAAGCAUACACAAAGCACAUUCCAAGAACACAAAUCCUAUUAAAACGAAAACGUUUCAAAUAUGCAAACGCAAAUUUGGAAAUGUAGAUGAAACGAAGUACUGAGCUAGGUUUGCUAUCACUAAUGGAACCAUUGAUUACAAACCUUUUUAGAAUGCCCAUGACAGAGAUCACAGAAGAAACACUCAACUGGAGUGCACCUUCCCAUAGAUCUGCAAUUGAGACGACUUUUUUUUAAGCCCUUCCAUGGUAUCAAACGCAUUGGAAAACAUCAGAUGAUGUACCUCCCAAGUUGGAAACAGUACGUAUGGUAGCAUUAGAUAGGCAACAAAGUCAGUGUUUCAUUAAAACCGUAUCAGUUCUUACCUCUUUGUGAACUCACUGAUUUCAAGGAGAUCAGUGUCAAAGUAAAACUUUGUUGCUGGUGCGGAGUUGAGAUACAGGCAACGUAGAAAAAUUCAAGAGUUUCAAGAGAAAGCGUAUUAGGCAAAUAUAUAUACAUAUCUGUAUUAGCUAAAAAUGAAAACAAACACACGACUCUUAAAGGAGAGGGGAAAAAUGCUUAAAGUAGAUGGCUACAAUACUGAGGUUAGUGUCAAUAUAAUAGGAAACUUUUUAGUACCUCUCAGAGAUGUGGAACAUAAAGGAAUUAGGUUGCUGUUUUCUGGUAGUGUAGAAUGAGAAACACAUGAGGUCUGGCUUCCAGCUUAUAUGAAUUACACCAAGUGGUGGACGGCACCGCCGAAAUCUUUCUACAUGGGAAUGGUUUUCUAGUGGAAUGUAGAGAUCUUAUUUGAAAAUAAUAUCCAUGCAUCCUCUGAUUUCUCUUUGGUAGACAAAAUGAGUAGACUAAGUAAACAUUUUGCUGCUCUGGGGCAUAUAUAUCCACAGUCUUUGACUUGCUAUGACAUUAUGCCACCUACACCGAAAGUACUUCUGGCUCUCUCUCUCUCUUCUCCGUUUUGGGCUUUUCUUAUUUUACUUUCCUCGUCACGUCAUUGUGCAUCUACAGUUUUAGAAAGCAACCGAAGAGAAAAGAAUAGUUGUUUUAAUAGUACAGGACUAUCAAUUGCUCCUAGAAUCAGCUUCUCAGAUGUAACGGCAGCAAACAUAUUCGAAAGUAAAGAAUCUUUCUUACCGAUCAUCAGGAGCAGCUGUAAUGGCUAACUGAAGUAUGAUUCAGCUGACGGUAUGUGUUUGAUCUUUGAUUCUCGAUGCUCGUUUUUUUUGCUGCAUGAACUGAGUUAUGUCGUUGAGAACCAUCCGUCCAACCAGAUUCACCAAUGGAAUCAAAGGAACCUCCACAUACACGUUAACAUCUAAGCUCCUUUCCUGCAAAUCAAUUCAAAGAUCCAUAACUAUCACAGCUUUUUCAGUAGACUUCAAGACAGUUUUUGACUCUCUGAACGAAGAACCUUUAAGGCAUCAUUGCUUUGUAGGCUUCUGAAGCUUUACUCUCAAACCAUACAUAUUUGUCUCACUGUUAAAAACAACAACAAAAACUGCUACACCUUAUGCUCUUCUGAGGUGUGAUAAGUGGUUGGUUCAAGUACAUUUGACCAAUUUUAGAAUAAUCUGUACAAUUUAGUAUUAUAUUAAAAUUGUCAGAUGCUUGAACUUUAACUAACUAAUGACUAAUCCCCUUCACACAAACCAUGGCUAGCUAAAAAUGAGUAGCAGACGAAAGACACGAAACUACAAAAUACAAACUUAGAAAUCAGAAGGUGGAUAACAAAAUAAGGCAGAAAACAAUAUAUGAUGGCUUACAAACAAUGCUUUGUAUAGAUCUAGAUGCGUCGAUGGCCUUUUCCUUUCCACAAUUGUCACCAAAUAUCCGAUCUAACCGAACAUGUGGCCUCCGAUCAUCAUCUCCUUCUUCCUUUUCUCUCCACUUAUCCGGGCUGAAUAGAUCUCCGAUCUGUUUUGAGGUACUCAAAGUUUUGUCGAGAUCCAAUUGUUUAGGGAAAUCUCCCACAAACCGCAGAGGAUUUCGUUAACGAUUACGAUUCCUUAAACGUUAGAAAAGACGACGAUGGUAGCAUCGAUGAUAGAGAUAACGGUGGAAAAUAGAAUGCAAAGAAAAUCGAUUCUUCUUCUUGUUAUAAACCAUUUACUCAUAGACUCAUUUAUCAUCCCUAAGCCCAUCCGCAGGAUCAUACUGGCGCCUAUCUACUCUUGUGUUUAUCCACAUUAUAGUUAGUGUUUAUCUUACGUAUUGCUAGUCAUUAUCUAGUUAAGGAUAAGUACGAUCUCAUGUUGAUCCAGUACUUAGACCGUCAUUACCAUAUGUAUAUAAAGACCAGUUGGUCGACCUACUAAUACACACAAGUUCCCCUCUUCAUUCACAACACGUUAUCAGCACGAUAGACUCCAAAACCCUGAGACAAAACCUAACCUAAAAUCCGUCACACAUAAACCCUAAUCCAGGCGUAACGUAAAAUCAAUCUAUCUCUCAAACCCCGGGGAACCAGACGACGAUCCACAUAUCAAAUUGAAGCUCUGGACAAGACGAAUCUAUCAGCGAAAACCGUUCGUCAAUCUGAUCUCAGACGCGCCCACACUCGCAGAAACAAUAGACGGCGCCGCCUUGGUCUUUUGGAACCCUAAUCCCGAAGAACCCUAAUUCGUUCUUGAUUCCGUUCCAGCAAGCAUUACCGCCUCAGCUUCAUCCCGAUCUCAGCUCAGACGAACCCUUGAACUCAAUCCGGUCUCGCGUUCCCGUCACUACCUCAGCUCGAUCCGACGAUCAGCCUCAACCCGUUAGCGAGAGACAACCAAGGCGAUCGCGACCUAACAAACCUAACCCGAUCGCAUCCUCUCAGCUCGCGAUCCCGAAGUAGCCAUCUCGCGUCCGUUCGAGGUUCAUCUUGGUGGUCCGGUUUCUACAAUCUGCAGAACAAAGUUAAUCCUAAUUCUGAGAACAUGAAUUGAACAUGGUUGUUUUGUAAUGAUUGAAACCCUAAAAUCAGAACUCUAAAGAUGAAAGCCAUAAGGAAAAUAGAUCAAACCCUAAAGAGUAAAUCGGAGCUCGAAUAAGUCCGAUCCCCUAAACCAUAAUUCGAGAUUGAUCCAUUGAUCAAUUAAAAUCAAAGUCUUAAUGAUUUUGAAUCUCAAAUCAAAUCCCCUUGAUCAAAGAUCAAAGUUUUUCGAAAUCUCCUAAAAAUCCUAAUUUUGGAAAAUCGGUUUUAAAUUGUUUGAUUUAAACUUUGAUUGUUUGAUCACCUAGAGCUAUUGAUAAGAUUGUUUAAAUUCAAAUCUAAAUCACUCAAACUGAAACCCUAAAAGUUUAAAUCGGUUUUAAAAUGUCUUUGUUUGAUGAUUGAUGAUCUGAGAUGUUAGGAUUGAUAAAUUGAUUAAUAGAUCUAAUCUCAAGAUUCGAAAUCCUUAAGGCCUUGAAACCCUUAAUCUUGAUUGAUAUUCCUAAAGGCCUUGAAACCUUAAAUCUCUCAUUACUUAAAACCUGAAAGAUUGAUUUAAAGAAUUUUGAUAUCUUGCAUAUUCACAUUAUUUUAUCCAUUUAUUCAUGUGCAUUUUCAUCAUAUAGAUUAGGAUUUAGCCAUGUCUAGGUUGCAUUUUGCAUACAUAUGUCUCUAUCAGGUAUUGGAGUACCACAUAGAGUUCCUGGAGACACUUGGGUGCAUUUGGAGCUCAGAGGAGGUGAUUAGAGUGAUCUUUGGACGAGCACUGCCUGGAGCGACCAGCCCAGAGCGACUAUCUCAAGUCACUUCAGCCAGAGCGACCUACCGGAGCGACGCCAUGAACUCGCUCUCCCUAUACGCUUCGGAGCGACCUCCUAGAGCGACAAGGCGAAGUCGCUCCAGCUCCUAGAGCGACCAGUUCAGAGCGAUAAGGCGAAGUCGCUCCAGCUCCUAGAGCGACCUCACCACAGCGACCAGUUCAGAGCGACGCGCCGAGGUCACUCGCAUCUCACACCCCUCUCGGAGCGACCUCCCAAAGCGACACCCCGAGGUCGCUCGCGUCUCUAUGGCGAGACGACACGAAGCGAAGCCCGGAGCGACCUCUCAGAGCGACCCACUGAGGUCGCUCCCGAAGGCCAGAGCGACCUCUCGGAGCGACAUGCCGAGGUCGCUCCGCGUCUAUUAUUGGGUCGAUUUUCUAUUUUACUUAAGGGCCUUUUGGUCAUUUCAUUAUGCACGUUUUUAUUUUCUAAACCUAUGUUUUAAUACUCUGUAAGCCACCAGGAGGAGAUUAUCUUUUGAUCUAUUGAGAAAUACACAAAAACUCUCUUGAGAAGUUCAUCUCUUGGAUUUUGAUUGUUAUGUUCUUGUGUUAUUGUUGAUUUCUUAUCUAUUUCUCUACAUGAUUAAUCUGAAAUCCAAUAUGGGUUUAAGAGGAAUCAUGGAGAUUAGUGAGUAAUCACCUUUUGAAUUCAUGGGUUAGGGAGAUUAAGGGUGAUUAGGUUAGUUCUAGGAUGUUUUAGUGUAGAUCAUUCUUGUUCCUUGCUAGUAGAGUAUUCAUAAUGCAUCUUCUGAGUUGGCCACUCAAAAGUUGAUCAAUAGACAUUUCUCACCCAAAAGGUGUUUGAUGAAAUGUCUGAGACAACUCUCCUAGGCUUUUAGUAUACUUUGCCAAAGACAUUUGUUGUUAAAGGUGCUAAGAUAGCUAAUAGACUUGUUAGUAAUGAUUGCUUUCAUAUUAUUCAACCAAAGACAUUUGAUGUUUGAGAUAUGUUAGCAAAUGAGCAUUCAUCUAGACAUAGAGCUUGCUUAGAAUUGUGUCUAGGCUUAAGGUCGAUAGUUUGAUUGAUCAUUUGUCAUUCUUAGUUCGAAACUUGAUCACCCAAGGUCUAAUCCCUAUGCCCAUGAGUUCUCUUUUCCCUUAGUCAAGAAAGUAUCAUUCUGUUAUUGCUUUUUAGUUUUAGUCAUAGCUUAAAACUCAUCUAAAUCAUUGGUUGCACUUAGAUUAAGUGAGCACUUGCAUUCUCAGUGCUUUGAUAUCCCUCAGAACUGGUUCGACAAUCAUUUAUACUACAACAUUUGUCUUAGGAGCCUUGAAAACUCCUAACAUCAGAAGGCAGAUUUGUAAAUAAAUUUUCUGCAAAAAAAACCUGGGAACAGAUUCGCCACAGCCGCCAAGCUUGCAGCUGGAGCAAAGGCAUCUGGUUCACCCAUUCAACUCCAAAGUUCUCCUUCCUUGUCUGGGUAGUUGCGCUCAACAGACUACAAACUAGCGAUAAAAUGCGGCUUUGGCACACUGGGAUAAACGCGACCUGCAUUCCGUGUAAUGUAGCCGAAGAAACCCGUGAACAUCUCUUCUUUGGCUGCAGGUACACAAGACAGAUCUGGAAGGCUCUCGCGGAGGGAUUGUUACAAGACAGAUUCACCACAGACUGGAGUCAACUUGUUGCGAUCAUCACCAGGCCGGGGCUCACUCCCAUUAAAAACUUCUUUGUCCGAUAUGUUUUCCAAGCAGCUGUACACUCAAUAUGGAGAGAGCGCAAUGCUCGACGACAUAGGGAACAAAAAAGAGAAGCUCAGUGUCUAGCAAAGCUUGUAGAUAAAAAUGUUAGGCUUUGGUUGCUUUCACUCCAAGGUAGAGGAAAAAUGGAAGGAGGGCUUGCAACAUGGUUUGGGUCUAGAGUGGAUCCUUAACUUAGGAAUUUUGUUCCUAGUUUCAUGAGUCUGAUUCUUUGAUUCAUAAACAGUUGCACAUGAUGUAAAUAUGUUUUUGCAUGAAUAAAUUUAACAUUCAUUCAAAAAAAAAAAAAAAAAAAAAUAUUAAAACACACACACACAAAAGUAACAUCGAUUUGAAAACACACAAGAGUUUGUUGUCACCGACCAUCAGUUGAAUCGAACGUGCUAUGAAAACCAGAAGGCUUAGGAGGAAUACUAGACUGUGUCUGAGAGUAAGAGAAGUCUCCACCGAACAUUGACGUCGAUGUUCCUUCGUUUUGCUGCCAUCUCUGUAGAGCUUGAGGUAAACUCAUGUUGUUCAUAUCGAUCCCGAAACUCUCUUCUUGUUCCUGGCUCGUCGGUUUCCAUUUCUCCACGAGUGGGCCUAACACGUUCACCGCGUGGCCCAUGUCUGGUCUCUGUUGUGGCUCCCGGGCUGUGCAAUGUCCUGCUAGCUCAGCAACCCUGUGAAUGCUCUCCAGUGUUUCCUUGUCUGCCUCUAAGGUUUGGUCGAGUUCCUUUGAGAUUUUUUCUUUGUUGAUUAGGAUUCUUCUGAACCAUGUAACUAGAUGACAUUUCUCGUCUGGUAAUGAAUCGUCUAAUGCUUUUCUUCCCGUUAGCAUUUCCAUAAGAACAACUCCAAAUGCAUACACAUCCACUUUCGUCGUUACUCUCCCAGUAGCUACCAACCAUAUUAUAGCAAAAUAAAUAGUAAGUUAACGAACUAAUGCAUCAUAAUGUGAAAUUAAGUAUGAACAUACCGGCGUAUUCUGGUGCUAGAUAACCGAAUGUGCCUGCUAAUCUCGUCUCAACAGAGUACUUCCCGUCCGGUGCGUUCUUAACCAAACCGAAAUCAGCAACCUUUGCCCUCAUGUCAUCACCAAGAAGGAUGUUAGAAGACUUUAAAUCUCUGUGGAUGAAGCUUUGCUGAGCCAAGCUAUGGAGAUACUCCACACCUCGUGCCACAUCUAGAGCAAUACUCACUCUUUGUUUCCAUGUCAAAGGAGAGUACCCAAGUUCUUGAUACUCAAACAAAUGCUGUCCCAGGUUCCCCUGAGGCAUGUACUCAUAGACAAGCAACCUCUCGUACCCGUUCACACAGUAACCCAACAGAGCAACCAAAUGUCUAUGUCUGACCUUAGUGAGCACAGCAAUCUCGGCCUGAAACUCGUUCCUUCCUUUAUCACCCAUUGACGAAGAUUCCAUCCUCUUAAUCGCAGUCUUGGUCCCAUCGUGUAACUCUCCGGCAUACACAACGCCAAAGCCGCCUCUUCCCAAUAUGUUAGCCUCACUGAAAUUGUUAGUAACUUGACGAAGAACCUCCAUGGGAAUAGUAACGUUUCCACCUUCAAGAGGGAAACGAUCACCACCACUGUCACCACUACUAGGACUCUUCAACGCAUUGAAGUUGUUAGCUCCAUAUCCAUUCUUAUCAUCACUAACCAUAAGCUUCCCGGCCUUCUCAGGAUCAGUUCUUCCAAACUUCCCAUACUUCUUCUUCAUGACGAAUUUGUAAACCACAAAUCCUAAAAUAGCAAGGAAAACAAGAACCCCUACGAUCACACCGAUGAUCACACCAGCUUUACUACCACCACCAGGACCACCACCGUUUGUAGAAUCUCCGAUGUCAGUUCCAAUCAAAACGUUGCCAGGUUUGUAAUUAAACUUGACCUGAGCCGGAAAAAUUGGUAUUUCUCCGGUGAGAUUGUUGUUCGAGACAUCGAUAAGCUGCAAACUAGGCAUAAAUGUCAAAACUAUAGGGACAACACCGGUUAAGUUGUUGUCGUUAAGGUAAACGUUUUUGAGUGAAGUGAGAUUUGCGAUCGCCGGAGAUAUAACUCCGGCGAAUCCAUGUUUGGCAACAUUAAGCGUGACAACAUUCUUCUUACUUGAGUCGCAAGUAACAUAAGCCCAGUUGCUACAAGCAUCGUUUCCUUGCCAAGACUCAGCCAACGUCGACGGAUACCCCAAACCUCCGGCCACAGCUAAGAGCGUCAUCACCUGAGGAUCACAAUUCUCUCCUGCUUUGGCGGUGCAGAAGUAGUUAUGCUCGGCGGACACUUUCGCAACCUCCGGUGGAAACAGAGGAAGAGGACCUUGGAACUUGUUGCUGUCAAGAGUAAUGUUCUUGAGGCUUCCGAGUGGUAAUAGCGACGGCGAUACGAUUCCGGUUAACUGGUUAUCUCUGAGCUGAAGAUCGAAGAGAUUGGUUUUCGAGAGAUCCGGUAUCGGUCCGGUUAACUGAUUCUUCUGUAACCAGGCUUGUGAUAACGACGUCAUACCGGAAAGAACUUCGAUUGUACCGGUUAAACCGGAUUCCUGAUUAUUGAUCCAGAGAUUCUGAACCGGAGAUUUGGCCAGCGAGGGAGGUAAAGCGCCGGUGAUGUUGUUGUAGGAGAGGCGGAGACUCUGGAGAGAAGCGAAGGAGUCGAAAACGUCAGGCAAGACGCCGGAGAUUGUGGUGUUGUCGAGGGAGACGCUGGUUAGAGAAGUAGAAUCCACGAGCUCCGAAGGGAAGCUCCACGCGGCGAUGUUAGGGUUAUCGCUUAUGCUAAGGAUCUGGAGGCUGGUGAGUCCGGCGAAAGCUCCGGGCUCAACUCCGUCGAAGAGAUUCUCGUCGAGGUAGAUUUCUUGAAGAGAGGAGAGUUUAGCGAACGACGGGAUUUUACCGGAGAGUUUGUUACGUUGAAGAGUGAGAGUCUUGAGCUCGGAGAGAGUGGAGAUCUCUGGUGGUAGUCCGCCGGAGAGAGAUGUGUCCUCGAGGCUGAUCGAAUUGACGCGGCCGGAGGUGCAUUUUACGCCGGUCCAUUUGCAGUAAUCGGUGGAGGAGGUGGUAGACCAGUCUGACGGCGGAGGUCGGAAUGAUUUAGCUAAUGCGAGCAUUGCUGCUCCGUCAUCUGCGGUGGACGUGGUGAGGGAAGAAGAGAUGGCGAAGAGGAGGAAGAGGAGGAGGUGAGGCGUAGGAGCCUCCAUGGCUUGGAGAACAGGCAGAAGAAAUGAGGAGGAGGAAGAAGAAGGUUGGAUUUUUUUUUGAAAAUUUUCUGAUGAUGAUGUUGGAGGAGAGAGAUGAUGAAUGGAGGAAGGCAAGGAAGCGUAAAGUGAGGUGUCAUUCGCUAUUCAACAGAUCAUCUUACUAUUAUUUAACUGAUUAUUACUAUUUUAAAUGAGUUUGUUUGUUAGUUCACUCGAAAGAAAAAAAAUACCCAGAGAAUACGCGUUAUUGUAUUAUCUAGUAAUAAAUGUUUUUUUUGGACAAAAUAUCUAGUUAUAAACUUUGAUAACAGAAGUACGGGACUUUGUAGUAUUAAAUACUCCGUCUGUUUCACAUAGAUAAAUUUUUUAAUAUUUUCACAUAUAUUAAGAAAACACAUUAAAUCACUACAAUGUAACAUUUGCUGUAAUUUUUAAUUUUCAAUAAUUUUUAACCAAUAGUAAUUCAAUAAAAUCAAUUAUUUUUUUAAAAAAUCGUAAUUUUUCAUAGAAAUACAAAAAACUUAUCUUUGUGAAACAAUUUUUUUUUUCAAAAACAUCUAACUUAAUGAAACUGAGGGAGUAACAUUUUUUGUUACUCAACUCUUGAUUUUGAAACUUUUAAAAAAAUAAUGUUAUUGAAUUUUUGAUUUAAAUGUACAUUAAAAUCUACUAUAAAGAUUAUUUUUAAACUGAUUUGAGAAGAAUUUUAAUAAUUAUAAAGAGUUCUGCUAUAGUUUAUCAUAAAAAUUCAAAUAUACAAUUUUUCUUCGGAUUCUGAAUUAGAUAAAUUAAAAAAUAUUAAAUUUACAGAUUAUCCAAAAUCAUCUAAAAUUUCAUUCAUAACAAAUAAAUUAUUUCAAAUCAUAUCAAACAUACUUAAUUUAAUACACCUUUUGUAUGUAUAUUUAGAGUUUAUAUAGGCGCUAAUAUUAAAGAGAAAAAGACAAAAAUAGCACUAAAUCAAGUUUUUGUUUCCAAACUAGCACUCAAGGUCAAAAGUCACAAAAAUAGCACUUAAUGUUUUAUCAAAAGUCACAAACUUAGGGUUUAGAGUUAAAGGGUGAGGUUUAGGAUUUAGGGUUUAGGGUUUAGGGUUUAGAGUUUAGGGUUUAGGGUUUAGGGUUUAGGGUUUAGAGUUUAGGGUUUAGGGUUUAAGGUUUAGUGUUUAGGGUUUAGGGUUUAGGGUUUAGAGUUUAAGGUUUAGGGUUUAGAGUUUAGGGUUUAGGGUUUAGAGUUGAGAAAUGAGGUUUUGGGGAUAAGAUUUCAAAUUUUGAAAAAUUUAAAAAUUAAAAUUUUCAAAGGAUAAACUUAGAAAUGUGCUAUUUUGGUCAUUUUAGUUUUUGAGUGCUAUUUUUGUGAUAUAAACUUAGAAAUGUGCUAUUUUGGAGAUUUGUCCAAUAUUAAAAGUAAAACGAGAUUUCGUUUGUAUUGAAUUUCGAAUAUAUAAUAAAGGUAAAUCGAUUGAGAUAAUUAUUGAAGCGGUGGUUGUAAUAAUGGAGAAAAUGGAAUUCAUAAGAUAAAUAGCCAACGAUAGAACUAAAAAAACUUUGGUCACAAAUAUAGACUUUAAGAAUCAAAAUGACCAAAAUGUUUAAUUAAAGAGGUAAAUAUACAUUUAUACCCCUAGGGUUAUCUAAUCCAAACCUUUAGAGUUAAAGGGUGGAGAUUUGGGAUUAAGGUUUAAAAUUUUAUAAAAUAAAAAAUAAAUAUUA
rnacentral:lncRNA from 1 species